rnacentral:lncRNA from 1 species
GCGCUUGUACCUUGCAUCACAUUAUAUUAAAUGUUCUAUGAGGUUGCACUCCAGAGAGUUUUUUUUUUGUCAAAACACUCUAGAGAAGUUUAAACAGUCGAGAAGGAGAACCUAGUCACACGUAUACUUUUUACAUAAUACAGUCUAAUAGUUCAGGCUGCACAAAAUUAUAUCUUUACCCAUUCUAGGCCCGAUUUCCCAUCUGGUGUGUUGCUCUGUUGAAGUUCCAAGUAAUCCUUGUACUUCAUCUAGUUGUCCACGGCUCAGUUGUUCUCACCAUCCACCAGCUGCUCCACUGGCAUGACAACAAUGUCUAGCGACGGUCCACUAGAUAGAGAGAUUGAUAGCCUUGUUCAUGACAGCUCGAUGCAGAAUGCUCUUGUAUUUCCCAUUGCUCAUAGCCUUGCGUGAAAAGUGCUGAGAAAAAGAAAAAGUUAGUUGCAAAUAAGCUUUAUGGUAACAAGAAGAACUAUAUGUACCAUAGUUUAUGUGUAAUAACAAUGUCCCUUCCAUGAAGACCCUUGUCGUAUCUGCAUCUAUAAACCAAGGCACACUUUACACUUCACACACCAAAAUUUGAAACAAAUUGGACCUCUCUUGCAAAAUUUAUGGGGGGAGAUUUGAAAGAUGAAACAUUAAUUCCUAUCUAUGUACCUCGAGGUGACCACCAGUGUUGGCCAAAAAGGCGUUUGGAAUGGGAUCGACUUCGACCCACUUCUAGCCGAGGUGCACUUGAAGGCCACCAAUUCCAUUCUGCAUGAGGAUGGUCAAUAGGCCCGUCCAGGUGUCAGACCAUGCCCAUAGCUCGUUCCGGCUGCGGGCACAGCGGAUACUGAUUCGCCAUUAAUAUCUGUAAGCUUGAAUCCAUGUUCACUGCCUUGUUGAUAUAGCCUAUGUAGCACGGACACUCUCCGGAAGCUUUCAUAUCGUGUCCGACACUCCGACACGUAUCCAACACGCAAUCAACGAGUGUUGAAAAAUCUGACACGUGGUCAACUCUCUCCGACGCGCGAGUCCAGAAUUUCGACACGUGAUUCCAAUACACAUUGGGUCAAUUUAAAAAUUUCUAAUACUUGAGGGGACAAAAUAUAAAUAUACACAAAAGAAGUAAUAAAAGAAGUAUAAAAUUGCUAUAAAUAUACACGCACGGGGUCAAUUAUUUUUUUCAGUUUUGUUUUUUUAAUAAUUGUUUUAGUUUUUUUAAAAGUCUUUUACUAUGAAAGAAGUAAUAAAAAAUGAUAUAUAUGAUAAAUAAAUAAAUUUAAAAAUAUCAUUUCUACAUUUUUCUUUAAAUAAUGUUUUUUUCCUCUAAGUUUUAUGUAUUGUUGUAACAAAUUAAAAUAAUGAAUGAUAUUAUUUAAUAUUUUUUGUGUAAAUUAAUUCUAUGCUAUUAUUAUUAUUAUUAUUAUUAUUAUUAUUAUUAUUUAAAUAUGUAUUUAUACAUAAAAAUAUAUUUAAUAUAUAACAUGUUGAAACGUGUCGAAAUUCUAUAUUUUAAGAAAUGAUGUGUCGGUGUGUCGUAUUGUGUCGUGUCGCAUGUCGCGUGUCCGUAUCGGUGCUAUGUAGGAUAUAGCCCAAUUGGAGUCCUGGGAUUUAUCAUAUACCCUCACGGAGUUCCCGAAACAAUUUCUGGUCCACCCCUGAGUACUCUCCUAAAAAUUCACUGCAACAAACAUUGCUUUCAUCCAUCAGAGGAAAUGCCACGGUGGUGUUCUUUUCAUCUGUAGGGACGUCGACAGUUAGUGUUAAUCUUUUAUCUGGUGCGUUACUAGUUGUCUUGCUCUACCAAAUUGAAUCCUUACUUGGUUGAUUAUCUCUAGUGUACAAAAUUGUUAUUGUCUAACAUCAAGAUUGUGAGAUUUUGCGGGACACAUUUUUAAAAAAAAAAAUUAAGCUGAACGCAUGAUUUAUUAUUUGAAUAUUUUAACACUCCCUUUUAUACUUAAUUUGGUCUUUUGCCUAGUAUUAAGUGUAGAAAUUAAAUUUGAGAAAUAAAAUGGGGUCUAAAAAUAUUCAAACUCAGAACCUCAAGCUUUGAUACCAUGAAAGUUUUUGUGGGAUUAUAUCCAAUUAUUCUAAAAGCUUAUACUAAUAGAUGAAUAUGUUGUUUAUUAUUUAAAUAUUUUAACAAGGAUGAUCCAAAAUAAUGAUAUCUUAACAUAAGAAUCAUGUAGUUUCUAUUGCUAUGUUUCAAUUCCCCGGACAAGUUUAUGAGCAAAGAAACCCGUUUGAUAACGACUCAAAAUUUCUAUUUCUGAAACAGAAAUCUGUUUGAUAACAGCACAAAAUUUCUAUUUCUAAGAAUAGAAAUUGAUUAAAUAACAAUAUAUGAAAUCCUCAAAUACAAAAUAAUAAUGGAAAUAAUACUAAAACAACAUAGGAAAUCCUCAAAUACAAAAUGAUAGUAGAAAUAAUACUAAUAUUGAAAAUACAAUUUCAUGGAAUUUCCGGCAUAUUAUUAUCCCUUGCCAUUUUAUUAGCAAUCGUUUUCCUAUGCGUAUUUAUUUGGUUUCCCUCCUCGGUCAAUGUAUCAUUUGCAAGCUCAUCCUACGUAGGUUCAGACAAGUACUGCGGAAGCAUGAAUAUGGGUGACAUCAAUGACGCCUAUACAACCUUGCCAUUUUAUCAAAAACUAGUAUUAUACAAGAUUAUCAACAAAUUAAAAUUAAUGGUGUAAAGAAAUAUAUGAGAAUAUUACCAUAAAGUAACGUUUAUGGUUAGGAACCAAUCGGAGGAAGGUCGAUUUAUUUUGAUUCUCGAAUUGAAUUUCCAGUUGCUCAUCCCUAAUUUUUUUAUUGUUGUUCAAUAAACCUUUAAUGGCCCUUUCAUAGCAAAGAGAGAGAUUCUCUUGAAUCUCUUGCAUUCAAAUUAAAAUUCAAGAUUGUGUAACAAUCUAAUUAUUUUGAUUUUGCAAGAAUUUUGAAUCCGUAAAAAAAAUAAGGUUAAAUUUUUAGGCACGUUUUUUAUUCAUCUAUUACGUAAGAACUUUUUCUUCAAUUGGCCAUGCGCGUGCUUUUUCUAGGAGGAAAGAGCCUCAUUGUUUUUAAGUAAGCAUUUAAGAACUUUGGUCGUUUUUGAAAAUUGGGGACCAUUCGAUUGCCUUUCAUCCUAAAGAGUAAGUUAUAAAAAAAAUGCAAAAAAAAAAUAAAAAUAAAAAUAACACAAGCAAAAAGAAAAUUAGCAAUAAUUUGUGAAGUUGUGGUUAUGAGUGAAUUAAGUUAGCAAGAAAGCGCAAGGUUCUUUUAUAUGGUUUGAUUUCAGUUUCUGAUUUCUAUUUCAAAAACUGAGAAGUUAAAAAUUUCAGCUUUUGGUUUCUUUAAUUUCUCUAUUUCUGGAAUAGAAAUCUGUUUCAGAAAUAGAGAAAUCAAAUUGCGUUACCAAACGGAUUUCUGUUAUAAACCUGUUCCGGGGAACAGAGAAAUAGAGAAAUCGAGAAACAUAAAUUUUGUCAUGCAUGCCCUAGAUGUCUGGGUCAGUAUAGAUCUACUAUACAAAAUUAACAAACCGGAGCCAAAAAUGCUAAAGAGCGACUCAGAUGGAUAGAAGUUGCUCAAAUUCAAACGACGUCAUUUCCAAACUCUCUUUCUCUUUCUCUCUCUUCUUGUUACUUAAGUGGUCACUUUAAAAAUAUAUAUAUAAAUUUAAAAAUUUAUAGCUAUGAAACAAUCACUCUUGAAGUUAUUAGAACUUUUGUUGUCCUUCAACACACGUUCAAGCAAUGUUGUUUGCCUUCUCAAGUGUUGACUUCAACUUACUAAAAUGCCAUGUUGAACGAUAUAUUAUAAAUUAAUGCCACGUUGACUCUUGUCGAUGGCACUCAAGUAAACGGAAAAAAAAAAAGUUAUAGCAUUCAAAUAAGCGUCGUACAAAAGUUAUGACACUCUUAGUGUACUUAUCCCAAUGCCCCCACCACCUCGUGACAGAAGUGACAAUGACAUUCCGUGGUUGUUGAAAGAGGAAAUGACUUUUACACUGUUUAUGAUGCAUUGAACUGUUCAAUCCACUCCUCCAGCCUUGUCCAUGCAAGCCCUUUCACUCGCUUUUAUGAAGGGUCGGAAGACUAAAAAAUCCCUUAACCCAUUCUGAUUGUCUACUUGACAUGAUAUGGUUAUUUGAUGCAAACGAGUGUCGCGACCCGCCCUCCGCAAGCUCAUUGGGAGGGACGGUGGUUUAGGGAUAUUUGCUCAAGAGUUCUCACUCAAGGUCAUGUCCACCAAAGGCGUCAUCACCUCGCAUUGAGUUUGAAAUCUACACGAACACGAGUUCUCCCAGACCUAUACCCUGCGUGGCAAUGGAAAUGUGUUGUGAUUCGCUUCUACACAUACGAUACACCUUAAAAAAGAGAUUGAGUGUGAAAGGCGAUUUUAGGGAUACUUGUUGACACUUAAAUUUUACCGUACUUAAUUGUGUAGAAAAUUAGGGAUUAGUUUUUAAACCUUAGAUAAAAUUAGGGCAAGGGGUUGGGCUUGCUCGGCCCUCCAUUUCCUCCUCUUCUUUCUUCUUUUCUCUUUUUGUGUGGGCCGGCUCAUCUCUCUUCUUCCUUCUUUUCUUCUUUUCACAGGGACCGGCCCAUCUCCUAUCAUGUCGGCCCGGCCCGCGCGUGGGUCUUCUUCCUCCCUCACGCCCUCGCGCUGGCUUUGCUUUUGCAGAAAAGAAACGUACAAACCAAAGAAGGAGGCAGAGGAUCGCGAGGGCAGACGGCAGCAUGAUCUGCAGAUCGGGGCCAAGCCGGCCAGUAAGCUGCCGAUGGCAUAAGCCAUAGGCGCUGGCCCGUGGCCCUCAGAAGGGAGAGAGAGUGAGCGAGAGAGGUCUGGAGAGACAGAGACGGAGAAGGAGGGAUAAGUUUGGGAGAGCUGAUGUGGUUGUUUUGGUUUGUCAUUUGAUGGUUUACGUUGGGUCUAUAUCCGCGGAUUUGAAUGCGAAAGAUGUUCAAUAUUUCCCUUUUAGCCGCUGCAUACCACUUGCUUGACUGCAGAUAGGCUGAUGCACUACCAAUCUGUUUCAAAAGAUAUAAUCCAGCAAUAGAACAUUCAAAAGAGGUAAAAAAGUAAAACAAUGUCAUGCGGGACAAAAUUGAAAAGGCUGCCAAAAGGUUGUGGGCUUCACACUUCAUCUAAAAUAGCCAAGGACAGAGAAUGUCAAAGGAAUAUUAGAAGCCAGGGGAAGAGAGGGAGGGAAGGCCAUAUAAAAUUACUGUCAUAUUCAUUAAGCUAGAAUUAUGUUACACCAUUUAAAUUUUUUGUUCCAUUAGCCCUAAGGACACUCUCAAACCCAGUAUUUCCGGUAAAUUACUUUUAUGACAGACCUGCAAAUGACUGAAUUAACUGACCUUAUAGAUCUCUGUAUUUACAAGCGUUAGUAAGAAAAGGACCCCUCUGACGGUAAUAUUUGCGGUUGUGUAGCAAUAUACUCAAUUUCUUUUUUGAAAUCCACAUCAGAAUUUAGAAUAUGUAUCUCCACAGAGAGAAGCGACCAUACACCAAAACUUGUACUCCUUUUAUGUUCUUUCAUCUUCCGGCAUCCUUCCAUCGACUUCUCAUUAUUCUAGGCUGUACUUCCGUCACACCGAUGCAAAAGAAAAUUGGCUAAACUCAGCAUUUAUUGAAGGCUCUCAUUCUACGUGUGUCUAACAAAGUUUGUCAAGCUUGUGCUAGACAGUGAAUACUACAAAAUAGAGGCUUCUUUGUCAAGUAAUCAUCGAUGAAGCACAGAAAAAUCCAUCUCUAGAGUAUAGAAAAGCUCACUGUAAGAGGAACAAGAGCAACAGAGUAAAUUGGCAACUUGAUUGCCCUCCAUAUCAAUGUUGCCAUGGAAAUAUCAUCUUCUUUUGCCAAUUCAGAACUAUGAGCAUUCUUCCCAAAAGAAGCUUGGCGAAGCUUAAAUCUUCGCUUGACUUUCACUUGCUUAAUGUCUAGUGUUUUGAGAUAUAUAUGCUGCUUAGAAUAGGAACAUAGAUUUUGGGCAUGCGCAUGAGACCUACAGAAAGAGCAUAUGUGACAUCAUGAAAUUGACUAGUAUCUGCUCUUCCACCUUUUUUUUCCACAUAUAUCAGGUGGAAUCAGAACAUCCUUGCUCCCCAACUGACACGUAUGAAAGGAUGAGAAGAUAUAACUGAUAAUGCAGGGAAAGUAUCUCAUAUCUUUACAGCAGUGGAUGUAGAACCUGCUGUAGUGAAGUAACCAAGUGAAAAAACAACGCAAUCACAACAGAGGAGCACAGUUUUUCAACAUAUCAAAGAAACAUUUAUUAAGUUGUAGAUCACAUAAGCUUUACUCAAAUAUAGAAUCGCCAAUGUCUAUCCGCCGUGGAAGUUUCUUGGUAAAUGUGGAUAUAGAUCAAAACUCAUCGAUACAUUACUAGUUCAUUCAAACAGUAAAAAUGAAGCUUCUGAUUUGGUUGCUUUUGUCCUUUCAUAUAAUCAAUACGGAAGAUUCCAGUCAUGGAAGGUCAUUCUAUUUCCCCCUGUGAAAGUACUACCCUCCUGCAAUAGAGAUAAUACUUAAAUAUGAGAGUAUAUAGUACUCUACCUCUGACGGGUCAUGGAGGAUUACAAUUAUACAUGAUAACAACACUUGGAUCGGCCAAAGGAUUAGCAUCCAACAUCCUUCCGCAUAAGGUUAGCACCAAAUUGUUUCCUUUAUGAUGAGGAUGGUUGGUCAUCAGACCGUCACUCACAUCCAAAAACUAAGGGAUGUCCAACUCCUCACAUGAUAAUCCAUAGACAACAUUAAAUAGUUCUACGUCCCAUGGGAAGCAAAACACAUUGACUUUCUUCAAAAGUAUAAUUCAACAGCCACACGGGGUGUAUAGCCAAAAUGAAGAGGAAAGGGAACCUUGUCUUCCCAUUCCGGGUUGAGUGGAAGUCAUGGAGCUUGCGAAGACCACAGCCCAGGUUGACAUCACAGAAAGAGGCAGCCAUCAGCAUCAUUCACGAGACAUUCCUCCAACUGCGACUGCCUACUGAAAACAAACUGUCUUAAGAUCACCUAUUCGAUAUAGCAAUACGAAGCAGACACGCAUUCCCAUGAAUUCCACAUUGAAAUUUGCAUACCAGGAAAAACGCUUGGCAAACGUAGCCGGAUGAAGAAGAUGACAAAACAGAGGCACUUGAUCAGAACAAGAACCGAAAGUAUGGAAGAGUAGGAAGAGCUCGACUCACCGUUUGGGUUCUUAGUUCUGCCACAUAGAAUCUCAAAAGAUGAUGUCCGGGACAGCUUAGACAGGGCAGGGACGAAGAGAGCUCUAAGGCGCGCGCGAGAGAGAGAAAGAGAAACAGAGAGAGGGAGCAGCAUAUCCAUAUCUGCUGUAAUCUUAAUUCUGCUGAUGAGGAUAAUGUUGGAGCGCUGGUGCACGUGCAUAAUUGCAUUUACACGUGACUCAUUCGUAUUCAAUUUCAAUUGUCAUUUAUGAGUAAAAUUCGUAUUAUAAAUUUGACUAUCCAUAUGCAAAAGAAAUAAAACAGGUCAUUUUUUUUUUUGGCAAAAUGGAAUAAAAACAUGAUUUUCAUUUACAUUUACAUAAAAUUUAGAAAUCUUAUGAAAUGGGGGGAAGGAAAAAUACUUCCUUAUGAAUACAAUGCUAUUGCUAAAUUUUAUCAUUGUGUUUAUGUAAUUUGAGAAAUUUGGUAAGGCUAUUUAGUAAAGAAGAGAGGAGAAAUAUCCAAAAAGGUAAGGAUAUAUUGUCCCAUAAUAAUAAUAAUAAUAAUAAUAAUAAUAAUAAUAAUAUUGAAUUAAGUUCCAAAAUUAAUAUAUAUAUGUAUGUAUAUAUAUAUUUGUCAUACUCUACUUCUACUCCAACUCUCCUUAAAACUACUUUUUUACAAAAUAUAAGAGUCAAAACUCAUAUUUGAUAUUAAAUCGUCCCACCCUAACCUUCCUAAAAAAAUGUGAAUUUGAACCUCCUACCUUCCCCGUCUCAUAAGAGAAGGAUGGCCAUUAGGCCAAACCUCAAUGGUUCACUUAAUUGAGUUGAUGCAAAUUGUACCUAGAUCGUUAGUCAUAUGAGAAUUAGUACCAGUGUCCGAAUGCUACUAUUCAUCUUGUCCAUGCACGCCUUUCUUGCUUAAGCCAAGGGGCAGAAGACUUGAACAUCUCUUAAUUAGUACUCGAUUGUCUACAUGAUGCGACGUGGUUAGCUAAUACAGACGAAUCGACCAAAUGUCCUCAUAUGUCAUGGUUUUUGAAUGUGGUUAUGAUAGUAAAUCAACACUAGGGGUGCCAAAACUUUCGUAUAAUGCUCACUUGAGUGCCAUAACUUUUUUUUUUUCGAUUACUUGAAUAUCAUAUUAAUGUAAAAUUGAUCACUUGAUUGUCAUCUUCGAUAAAUCAUCCUCCAUGGAUUUUUUUUUCUUAAUUUUCCAUUCCGGGAUAAAUUUUUUAUAAAAUACUAAAGUCUAACGUGGAAAUUUUUGUCAAGCAUAACAAGAGUAUAAUAAACGUUGUCAUUUCUUGCCGUUUCCUUAAAAAUCUUCCAUGAGAAGACGACAUCAUUUUAAUUUUCAAACCCUCUCUCUCUUCCUAUCACUUUAAAAAAUUUGAUAAUCCUAAAUGUUUGCGACACUGAAACGAUCAUUCAUGAUAUUAUUAAAACUUCUCCUAUCCUUCAACCAAACACUCAAGCAAAGACGUUUACCUUCUCAAUUGCUAAUUCAACUUUGUGACAUGCUAUGUUGGAUGAUAAAUUACAAAUUAAUGCCACGUAAGCUUUUUUGGUGAGACAAAUCAUCGAUGGUACUCAAGUGAGAAAAAAAAAAGUUAUGAUACUCAAGUAAGUGUUGUAUAAAAAUUAUGACUCUCCUAGUAUACUUAUCCCUAGACUCCAUCACCUCGGACAUAAGUGACAAUUACAUUCUUUAUUUGUACAAAGAGGAAAUGACUUUUACAUUGUCUAUGAUGCAUUGAACCGUUCAAUCUACUCCACGGGUUUGUCCAUGCAAGCCCUUUCUCUUGCUUAAGCGAAGGGGAAGAAGAUUUGGAAAUCUUUUGAUGAGUGCCUAAUUGUCUACAUGAUGCGACGUGGUUAUUUGUUAAAAACGAAUAGACGGAAUGUCCCUAUACAUCGUGGGUUUUGAAUGUGGUUAUAGGCUCGAUUCUUUGGGUUAUCCGCUGCCGAUCCUGAGGGACAGAUCGGCAGUGCACUUCCGGCCGAAACCUUGGAAUGGCAUUUUGUUUAGCGGGUCCCUCAGUUGACGCCUAAUCCGGUUUUUAUGACCAAAAAAAAAACAAAACAAAAAUCCGGUUUUUAUGUUUGGCUUCGUCUUCAACCAAAUGGAAAUCUGCUAUUACUUCAACAUUUUGAACAGGUUCAUCAUGUGGAUGUUGGUUUUAAAGAACGGGUCCCUCAGCUUUUCCCUUGGAUAGACCAGACGCCGUUGGACUCUGCAUGCGCCCACACAAACGGAUGACUGCGACGCUUAAGCAUUCUGUGGUACGAAUGGGAAUUGUAACAUUGCUAGCAAUCCAAAAUGCAUAUGCUUGAAAGGGUUCAUGCCCAACUUUUUUACUGACUAAUUAAUUCAAGUGAUAUAAAUAAUUAUUUUCAGGAAGAUUUUUCCAAAUCAUUUACUUUUCAUGAAACAAAUGGACACUUAAACUUUGACUAUGAAAAGUGAGACUAAAUGUUAUAGACAAGAUGUACUUUAUUAGAACAAAUAACUUAAAUCAAAGGCCCGAAGUGCUAACCUCAGAUUUUGGUUAAUCUAGUGAUCGCUCGAGUGAUAAACACUAUUUUCAUUAUCUUUAAUGUCUGUCUUCAAAUUGUGUCACAAAAAUGUUUGUUUUGUAACUAUUUAUUUUCUUGAUACAGGAGACCAUUACCAUAAGAAUUGUUGCGGAAAGACAAGCUAUCCAGCACAAUGAAGCAGAUAAAAAGGGAAAUAAAUCACAAAUUGCCAAGGGAAGAGUAGCACAUGAUUCCACUAUAAAGUAGGCGAUAUAGUGGACAUUAUAACCAUAUUCAAAUCCCUUAGACAUUCUCAGUAUUUAGUCCCCAUAAUUCCUUGUUGAAAUCUCUCGAUCUCACAGAAGAAUUCACAAAUUUUAUCAUAAAUUUUUAACCAAACACUUACGAAUAUCACUUUGCACCAACUGCCUGACGACCAAACCCAUGAUUGGACAUAAAUGCAUAUCUCUAGCAAAACUAGAAGACUUAUGGCCGACUUUUGUAUCCAACGAGAAAAGUGAUUUCCUUGUUUGUUAGGAAACUUAAUCCAAUUGGGACAUUCUUUUGAUUUUUUGGGCAGAUAUCCGAAAUAGGAUAUCUCCCAUGUAAAUUUAGACUUUUCCUGGGGGGCUGAAACUCGAGAUUUAUUUUUACCAUCUACACAUUGAGUCGACAUUUGAAUCAAGUCACAAUCAUUUCACUAAAACCUGGUCAUUGCUACUCUCCUAUAAUCCCUUAGGGUACAAUCACCAUAGAGAUCUUCCAAAUCCAAGCCACAUCAAAACUUUGCCAUAAUUGUUGACCUCAUUAAAUUACCAACUCUACUUGCAACUUUAACUGGUCCUAAAGUAUUUUCAAACACAAGCUUAUGUAUACAAAAUAAAACAAAAACUAUUGAUGUAUUAUCUAUCAAGAGAUUGAACGUGCAUUUUGUCAAACACAACAGUUAUAACAACUAUUUGCUCUAGAUGUUCUAUCUUGCUACAUUCACCUUUUGGGUCGAUUACCACACAAGCACCCAUUAUCUCAGAAGAUUCUAGUUACAAAUUCAACUUGUGCACCAUCAAGAUUCGCAUAAACACUAUCACACAAAUGUAACUUUUCUACUAACAACAGUGAGUUUAAUUCCUAGCACCACAAUAGAAAGUCCCACUCAGCCUGUGCAUAGUCUAGAAAUAUGCACAUUUUCCCCUCCCAUCAAACUUACCAUCAGUUCGCUUGAACAUAUCAUGAGCAACAAAAUAUUCUAAGAAAUUAUUCAUCAAUAAUGUUACCUAAAUGCACCAAGUACUAAGCACAUCUACCAAGAAUUUCUUCGGCAUACCAACACUAGAAAACAUUUUAUGGGUCAUAUCUAAUAAUGAUUUGCUCAUUAACUCUGGAACCUAUUGUGAUUUUACUAGCACUAGUAUAGUGUUUUAGUAUGCAUUCAUGCGGUAUUCAUUCAAUAGCUCCAUGCAAAAUCAAUGCUACUAUCAGUCCACACAUGCUUGAUUAUCUUACCAGUUUCAUUUUUUAUCAAAACUCUCAACUGCCUAAUUCUGACAAUGGCUUCAAAGUUCUUUCUCAACACAAACAUGUAGGUCCUGGUGGUCGACAAUUGUUGGCAUAAAUCCAACAUUCUUCUUCGAAGGAAAUUGUGACAGCUUACAAAUAUCCCAAGUGAAUAAACUCCACAGUCUAUAUGGUUUCCCAUAUACUUGUACCAUAGUAUGCUUUUCGUAGUUUGCUUAAGUCACAACACUUGCAUUUAUUCAAUUUCUUGGCCACCUAACUUCAUAGUUGAUUCAUUUCACUCAGAUACUUGUUGCUUCUUUCCGAAUGUGUCCUAAACAUAUAUGCCACAAUUCAGACCAGAGAAUAUAUGCACACAACAUCUUCGGGCAAAAUCUGUGACAUCUUGAAAUUUCCAACUCUUUUUUUGAUUAAUAAAUCAAGCAUUUCAUCGAUGCGCCUAUAGUGCUAUUAUCUGAACUAAUCACUCUUGAAAUAACUAGACUAUUUGGGGAAGCUAUUAAGGGAUUUUAACGUAAUAGACUUGAGAAUUUAGUCAGGAAUCGACUACUCGACCGUGCUCAUUUGCAGAGAUCAUUACUGCACAAUUAAAAAUUGAUCAGAGAUCAGAGAUAGGUCAUUUUGACUAACAUAGGUGAUCAAAGUGUGGGUGAUGUCACCAGAUCGCAAAAUUCUCGCCGAUUGGCAUUAGACUGAUUUUUUUGUCAUUUUAGUACCUUGUACCCGUAUUUGAAACCUUGAGAUUUUCACAACCAUAAAGAGUUUCCAAUGUAUCAAAAAGGUACAUUGUGACUCGAAAUAAAUCGAUCACGGGUCAAUUGCACCAAAAAUUUCUAAAAGCUAUUCGGUAGACUAGGUUAUGCUAAAAUCGCGUCAAAUUGAAAUUAACCGCAAAUUUGAAUCUAAUUUUAGAAAUUGAAAGUUUUGUUAUGUCAUGAGUCAUUUUAGGAACAUCGACUCAUCCUUCGAAAAUUUUUCUGCAAAAUGAGAUUUUUGGUGAAAAGUCGAAAUAGGGCCGUUUUUGUCCGGAAAAUUCAGGAGAUCAUUUUUUAUCGCGUUUUUGAGAUACAAAUUGGUUCUAUUGGCAUGGAAAAAUGUCAAUUUGGUCGAGGAUACCUCGGUGGAUUUUAUAGGGCCGAAAUUGGCUUCAAUUGAUUAGGAUUUUGUCUAAUUUUGGGGGAAAAUGUGUAAAUUCGUAGUCCCUUGGUCCUCAACCUUUUGGACCACCUCAAUGACUUCCUAAGGAAGCUUGGUGGCUGCAAAGUGUGCUGAGGAAGCCAGCCUAACUAGUGGGGUCAUGCCAAGGGGAAAAAGGGGUGAGGAUGGAGCAAAUUGGGUCCCUCCAAGGCAAUUGUCCCCUAUCUUCUCCAUUUCAAUAUGCUUUCUCCAUUGCUAAGGUCACAUGAGAGCUUGAGAGACCAGAGAAUCCGGCCAGCAACUCCCCCUCCACUGUCGAUGUCAUUUACUGCCCAUUGAACCACCAGAACGCCGCCGUUGCGCGCCCGAGCACGCCCGCGAGUUGCAUGCCUGCUCAUGCAUCACUGCCGUCCCAGCUUCGUCAUUCACUCCUGCUCACUCGUCUAGCAAGUCGCUUGAGCCAUCAUGGUCGUUGUCCAGCCGCCUGCCAUCAUCAAGCACUGCCAAGCCCUACAGCAACCUCGCCAACCUGUUCUCACCAUUUCCGCACCAACCAACCUCCAUCCGGCCCUCUCAGCCCAAGGAGCAAAAUCAAACCCCUUUAGCCCGGUCGUGAAUUGUUUGGCCUGCUUUGGACUGCUUCCGCGCCUUGAAAGGUGCUGCUGCUUUGGAGUUUGUUACCCGCCUUCGUGUCCUCGUUAUUGUAAACUCAUCGAAUUUCAAAACUGGUGAAUUUAAUCACUAAACUCUGCUUAUGGAGUUAAUUAUGCUUAAUGGUUGAUUAGUUUAGGCUAAUUAGAGAUUGGGUGGUUAGUUAGAAUGGAUUAGCAAUUUAAUUAUUCAUUUAUACAUGUUAGGUGGUUACAUUGGCGUAAUUAGUAAGUUAAUAGGUUGUAUUAUUUAUCUAGAUAGGUUUGAAAAUUUUCUAGGCCCAUUUCGGUAUUUAAUUAGGCUUUUCCAGCCUAAGUUUGUAUUUUUGGCAUUUGUUGGCAUUUAUUUAAUUAAUUUUGGUAAUUAUUUAAUUAUUUAUUAUUUUUUGAAAAUUAUACGGGAAUAGUUGGUGACUGAAAUUUCAUGCUGAUUGCAAUGGCAUGUUUGGUUUAUUUAUUUGGAUGUUAAUUUGUGCAAAUUGAGUGUUAAUUGUAAUUUUGGGUAUUUAUCCCAAAAUUUAGUAAUUUCAAUAUUUAAUUAGAAAAUCAUCGAGUGUCGGUUUACAAUAAAAAAAUAUUUUUAUAGAUUAUGUAACUAGUGUGAUUUUAUAAAGUAAAGAUAUUUUAUUUUUAGCUCAGGCCUACCGUGUAUCUACACAUUAUUAUUUUUACCAGGUAUUAUGGAAACAGUGAAUUUGCCAGUUGAUAGGUGUGACAUAUCAAUAUUAGCUUCAGUAAGCUAUAAUAUGCAUAUAUCAGCUUUGGUGAGCAUAUAUCCACUUCGGCGAGCUAUACUAUCUAUCUAGAUCAACUUCGGUGAGCUAUACUAUCUAUCUAUAUCAGCCUAGGCGAGCAUUUAUUUAUGUAUCAGCUUAGGUGAGCAGUGAUCGCUUCUAAAAAGUGAUUUGAUAGAAAGUAUCAUUUGAUUGAAUGGAGUGAAUGGUUGGUUGAAGUUUAUGAAAUGCAUUGACUUGCAAGAAGGAACAGAGGCAAAUGUAAGUCACCUAUCUCUUGUAAGCAUAGGUAACCUUCGGGGGUAUUUCUUUCCUAGUUGGAGUUUGGGGUGAACUUGUUGAGACGUUGUCUCACCCCGUCGUGGGCUAACAUUUACAGGUCCUUAGAUGGUUUUACCUCCCGAGCAUUUUAACCAACUGAAGAAGGUCACCAAACAGCACUCUCAGAUUCCCCUCCUUAGGAGCCAAGGAGCCUCAGUCUACGAACUCGUGCGAUCCAUUGUCUAGGUUGGUGAGGGUUUAUCUCGAAAAGUACCUCGUAAGUACCCCUUCUAGAGUUUGAGAUUCCUAGGUCGAUGCUGGAGAUUGCUUUUGGCAAGGACAUGACUAACCCUCCUAGUGGUUCAGUGGUAGACUCGAGUCUUUCGGAUCCAGAGUCCUCGGAGUACUUUGUGGAAGACUUGAAUGCUUAGAGGAUCUGUAGCCUCUACCCCUUUUUGUAGACCUUGUAUAUAGAUCGGCUAGUAAUGUAUAUGACUUAGUAUCAUGUGUAUAUAAGCGUGUUGUGGUUUGAAAAUUUUGUGGCCUUGCUUUUCUAUCCCAUUUUUGUUGUUGUCUAAAAAAUUAUUUAUUCGCUUCUGCAUGCGUAUUAAAAUGAAUGGGUUGGCGACGCGUCCUGAAACAUCGCAAUUUAUUCGACCACCGAGAGAUGGGCAUGCACUCGGAGGAUCGGGGUGUGACAUCCCCAUUUAGUGGUAUCAAAGCAGUUUAAUAGUUAGAGUGAUAAGGUGCGAUAAGUUUAUGGGAUAGUUGGUAGGAAAGGCCUUUAUUUCAUUAUGGUGCAUGUCUGUGAUUGUUAUUUGGUAGACUGUUUGUUUGGGAUGGCUCAGCUUCUAAUUCGAUGUGGACUUGGAAAGCGGGUUUUAGUAGAAAACUUGUGUCAUAAGUGAUCAUGAGCAAAAGACUCCUAAGAAGAGGACCAUUGGGCCUGUUACUCGGGGUAGGACACCGAUAAGGGUUAGUAUCCGAGGAGGCCGUGGUCGAGCACUAACUCAAGCUAGCACUAGUGGGGUAGCACCAUCUCCUAUUGGUGCUGGGGUAGCAACCCCUGGUGAUCCCAGGUUCGAAGGGAUCAUGUAGGCGUUUGAAGCAAUGAGAGAUCUAAUGAGGUAGCAGGCCCAGAAUCAAGCUGCCACCACCACUACUGCCACCGCUCAAGCUGGUGCUGCUGCUACCGUUGCCGUUGCUGCUGAAGUCACCGCCAAUACCGCACCUGUCAGAGUUCCAGCUAAGAACAUAGUCAUGGAGAGGGAGACACCAAUCCAUAAAUUGGUAGAGCAAUUCCUAAAACUGAACCCUCUGAGGUUCACCGGUGCCGAAGAUCUAGAGACUACAUCACUUUGGAUUCAAGAUUUGGAGAAGGCCUUUGCGUUGCCGAUGUGCACUGAAGCAGAAAAAGUUGUCCUGGUAGUAUAUCAAUUGUAGGGUAAUGCGAAUACUUGGUGGAGGGCCGCUAGAGGUAUAGUAUUCCCGGAAGGCGUAGUUCCGGUAUGGAACACUUUCCUUAGAACCUUCAACGACAAGUACUUUUCAAGUAGUGCCCGAGAAUAGAAGAUGGAGGAAUUUCAACGCCUCCGCCAAGGGACGAUGAUUAUUGACCAGUAUGAGGUCAAGUUUGCAGAGCUUUCUUAGUAUGCUCCAAGAUUGAUUAAGGAUCCAGAAGACAAAGCUCGAAGGUUUAGGAAUGACCUUCGACUAGAGUUGAAAAACCCGUUGGUACCGUUUGAUCUAAAAGACUAUAGCGAGGUUUACGACCGAGCCUAGCUGAUAGAGAAAAGUUGAAAUGAAUAAGUCGCCUUGUCUAUAUCAAGGUUUAAUUCGAACAGAGACAGAAAUCAGUUUGGGAAGAAACCCAUGACCGAGGAAGGUUCCAGGUCCUACCCAAUAGGAAGGGCGGAGUUGGCAAGUCAGCACCACAUCAGAAUGGCAUGUGUCGCUUCUGUGGAAGAUGACAUGGUUCGGCUCCAUGCCCUCGAUGGAUGGGUGCGUGUUUCGAGUGUGGCCAACAGGGUCACAUGGCUAAAGAUUGUCCUAGAAGACCGAGGGGAUAACAAUAGUUACCACCGAUGCCACCGAUGGGACAAAUUAAGGGGUUAGUGCCGCAGAUUGCACCGUAGGGUGGACAUAACAAACCCACAGCUCAAGGAUGAGUGUACGCCAUUACGAGAGGUCAGGUUGAGGAUGCGCCUGAUGUGAUUACAAGUACGAUUUUGUUGAACGACCAUGUUGCUUAUGCUUUGUUUGACCCUAGGGCAACUCAUUCCUUUAUUGCUGAACAAUUCGUUAAGCUGGUAGGAUUGAGUCCUGAAUUGUUGGAGUUGGUGGUUAUCAUAUCUACACCACUAAAGAAUAAGGUGUUGUCUGCAUUAGGUUGUUUUGGUUGCAAAAUAGUAAUUGGUGAGUGAGGGGAGGAUAGAUUUAUUGUUCCUAGCCAUGUAUGAUUUUGAUUUGAUAAUUGGCAUAGACUGGCUCACCAAACAACGAGCCAAGAUGGGCUGCUAUCAUAAAACGAUUCAAUUUAACCCGUUAGAAGGUGAAAGUUUCGAGCUUGUGAGAAGUCGAGGAGGACCCUCGAUUACCCUAAUCUCGUCGCUUAAGGUAACCCGUUUGUUAAGUAAGGGUUGUUAAGGUUACUUGGUAACUGUCAUUGACACAAUAGUUGAGGAACCAAAGAUUGAGGAUAUCUUGGUAGUCCAAGAUUUUCCUGACAUGUUUCUAAAGGAGUUGCCAGGCCUACCGCCAGAGAGAGAGAUCGAAUUUGUGAUCGAGUUAGCACUCGGGACAAAGCCAAUCUCUAAGGCUUCUUACUGGAUGGCGUUGUCCGAGUUGAAAGAACUAAAGGUGCAGAUGCAGGAGUUGUUGGAUAAGGGAUUUAUAUGCCCUAGUGCAUCACCUUGGGGAGCACCAGUUCUAUUCAUGAAGAAGAAAGAUGGUUCAUUGCACUUAUGUAUCAAUUUCACCAACUCAAUCAAAUGACAAUUAAGAACAAGUAUCCACUCCUGAAAAUCUACGACUUGUUUGACCAACUGCAAGGAGUGUCAAUAUUUUCAAAGAUCGACUUGAGGACAAGGUAUUAUCAGCUAAGAAUCAGAAAUGAGGAUAUACCAAAGUCAGUGUUUCGUACUCGAUAAAGUCAUUAUGUAUUCACUAUAAUGCCGUUUGGUUUGACAAACACUCCAGCUGCUUUUAUGGAUCUGAUGAACCAAGUAUUUAAAGAGUACUUGAAUCAGUUCGUGAUCGUGUUCAUAAUGAUAUUCUGUUAUAUUCGAAGAGUGCUAAGGAGCAUGAGAGUAAUUUGAGAAUGGUACUUCAAACCCUGAGGAUUCAUCAGCUGUACGCCAAGUUUAGCAAGUGCGAGUUUUGGUUGACUCGUGUUGCGUUCCUAGUCACAUGAUUUUAGGUGAAGGAAUCUCCGUGGACCUAUCUAAGAUUGAAGUAGCAAUCAACUGGCCAAGACCAACUACAGUGACAAAGAUCAUAAGUUUUUUGGGUUUAGCAGGCAACUACAAAAGGUUCGUGGAAGGAUUUUCGGCGUUGGCGUCGCCGUUAACUAGACUAUUGAAGAAAGAAGAGAAGUUUGUGUAGAUAGACAAGUGCGAGCGUAGUUUCCAAGAGCUUAAGCUGAAGCUGACUACCACACAUGUAUUGACCAUUCCAUAUGGUCAUGGAGGGUACGAGAUCUACAGUGAUGCAUCAUUCAAAGGACUGGGUUGCGUACUGAUGCAACAUGGUAAAGUGGUUGCAUACGCGUCCCGUCAGUUGAGGCCUCAUGAACUGAACUACCCGACGCAUGAUACAGAACUUGCAGCAAUCAUUUUUGCUCUAAAGAUUUGGAAACAUUAUUUGUGUGGAGAAAGAUUACAGAUCUUCACUGACCAUCAAAGUCUCAAGUAUCUAUUCUUUCAGAAAGAGUUGAAUAUGAGACAAUGUCGUUGAAUGGAACUUUUGAAGGACUAUGAUUGUGAUAUUUUAUAUCACAUUGGAAAGGCAAAUACGGUCGCCAACAUUUUGAGUCGGAAGUCUUCAGUCGCACAAAUGAUGGUUAAGGAAUGGGUUUUACUUGAGAGAGCGCGAGAUUCGGUUUUCAAAUUUGAAGAGGCCACAUUUCGAAUCUUAUGACCACCCUCAGAAUUGAGCCAGAUGUGCAGAUUAGGAUCAAGAAACUUCAAUCGAUAGACCCAAAUGUUCAAAAGAUUAUGCAAGACAAUACUAAUAAGAGAAACGCUGAUUUUCAGAUUUCUGAGGAUGAGAUUUUGAGGUUCCGAGAACAAUUGUGUGUACCUGAUGAUGCAGAGCUUAGAGAAGAGAUCAUGUUGGAAGCCCAUCGUAGCAGUUACAGUAUUCAUCUGGGUGGUACAAAGAUGUAUCAAAAUCUGCGUCAACACUAUUAGUGGUUCGGUAUGAAGGCAAACACCGCCAAGUAUUUGACAUGUUAGCAAGUGAAAGCACAUCAUUGUAAACCGAGAGGAAUUUUGCAACCUCUUGAGAUUCCUGAGUGGAAAUGGGAGCACAUCAUGAUGAAUUUUAUGACAGGCUUACCAAGGAGUCAAAGGGGCAAUGAUUCCAUUUGGGUAGUGGUCGACAAACUGACGAAGUCGGCUCACUUCAUCACUGUGCAAAAGGAUCUAGACUUGGACAGGCACACAGAGUUGUACAUAUGUCAGAUAGUUCGUCUGCAUGGAGUGUCGGUGAUGAUUACAUCAGACCAAGACCUGAGAUUCAUAGUUGCUUUUUGGAAUAGUUUAUAGGCUGCCCUAGGAACGAAAUAGUACAGCAUAUCAUCCUCAGAUGGAUGGCCAAUCUGAGAGGAUGAUUCAAACCCUCGAAGACAUGCUGCGAGCUUGCAUGUUGGAUUUCAAAAGAAGCUGGGAGGAACAACUUCAUCUUGUCGAGUUCACCUACAACAACAGUUACCAGCAGAGCAUUCCGAUGGUUCCUUUCGAAGCGUUGUAUAGUAGAGCGUGCAAAAUGCCGGUGUGUUGGGAUGAAGUUGGAGAACGAAAGAUCAUAGGCCUAGAGUUGGUUCAGCAGUUAGUGGAUGCAGUCGCAAUCAUCAUAGACGGAAUAAAUACCGCUAAGAGCCGCUAGAAAAGCUACGUAAAUAAGUGUCGAAAACCAUUGGAAUUUCAAGUUGGUAAUCACGUUUUUUUGAAAGUGUCACCAAUAAGAUAUACUUCACACUUUGGCAAAAAGGGAAAGUUGAGUUCGAAGUACGUAGGUCCCUUUGAGAUUCUAGAGAGAAUCGAGAUCCUAGCGUAUCGUUUUGCAUUACCGCCAAAGUUGGCCCAAGUGCAUGACGUCUUUCAUGUGUCGAUAUUGAGGAAGUAUGAGCUUGACCCGACCUGACCCACGUGCUUAAUUUUGAGAAAUUAGAUGUGGACGAUAGAGUGUCGUACGUAGAAAGCCCGGUUUAGAUUGUGGAUCAGAAAGAGCAAAUUCUACGUACCAAGACGAUCUCAUUGAUUAAAGUGGUUUGACAACACCACGGCACUGAAGGAGCAACUUAGGAAAGUGAAGAUUCGAUGAGAUGACUAUACCCUCACAUUUUUUUUUAAAGAAUUGUGAUAGUUUAAAUUUCGAGAACGAAAUUUUUAUAAGAGUGGAAAAGUUGUGACAUCCUGAAAUUUCUAGCUCUAUUUUUGAUUAAAUAAAUCGGGUUUUCAUCGACGCGCCUAUAGUGCUAUUCUCUGAGCUGAUCACUCUUGAGAUAACUAGACUAUCUGGGGAAGCCAUUAAGGGAUUUCAACGCAAUAGACUUGAGAAUUCGACUAGAAAUCGACUACUCGACCAUGCUCAUUUGUAAAGAUCAUUACGACACAGUUAAAAAUUGAUAUGAGAUCAGAGAUAGGUCGUUUCGACUAAAAUAGGUGAUCAAAGUGUGGGUAAUGCCACCAAAUCGCAAAAUUCUCGCCGAUCGGCACUAGACUGAUUUUUUUGUUGUUUUGGUACCCUGUACUCGUAUUUGAAACCUUGAGAUUUUCACAAUCACUGAGAGUCACCAAUGUGUUGAAAAGGUAUAUUGUGACUCGAAAUAAAUCGAUCACGGGUCAAUUGCACAAAAAUUUCUAAAAGCUAUUCGGUAGGUUAGGUCACGCCAAAAUCGCGCUAGAUUGAAAUUAACCACGAAUUUGAAUCCGAUUUCAAAAAUUGAAAGUUAUGUCAUGUCACGAGUCAUAUUAGGAACGUCAACUCAUAUUUUGAAGAUUUUUCUACAAACUGAGAUUUUUGACAAAAAGUCGAAAUAGGGCAAUCUUUGUUUGGAAAAUUUAGGGGACCAUUUUUUUUUGCGUUUUUGGGAUGCAAGUUGGUUCUAUUGGUGUGGAAAAAUAUCAAUUUGAUCGAUGAUACCUCAGUGGAUUUUAUAGGGCCGAAAUUGGCUUCAAUUGAUUAAGAUUUGGUCCAAUUUUGCGGGGAAAAUAUGUAAAUUCAUAGCCCCUUGGUUCUCAACCUUUUGGACCACCUCAAUGACUUCCUAAGGAAGCUUAGUGGCUGCAAAGUAUGUUGAGGAAGCCAGCCCCACCAGUGGGGUCAUGCCAAGGGGACAAAGGGGUGAGGAUGGAGCAAAUUGGGUCCCUCCAAAGCAGUUGUCCCCUUUCUUCUCCAUUUCAAUUUGCUUUCUCCAUUACUGAGGUCACAUGAGAGUUUGAGAGACCAGAGAAUCCAGCCAACAGCCCCCCUCCACUGUCGAUGCCCUAUGUUGCCUGUCGAACCGCCAUAAUGCCGCCGCCACGCACCCGAGCACGCCCACAAGUCGCGAGUUUGCCUACAUGUCACCGCCGUCCUAGCUUCAUCGUUCGCUCCUGCUCGCCCAUCCCACAGGUCUCCUGAGUUGUCGUGGUCGCCGUCUAGUUGUCGCUUGCCAACGUUGAGCACCGCCAAGCCCCGCGAUAGCCUCGCCAACUCAUUCUCGCCAUUUCCGUGCCAACCAGCCUCCAUCAAGCCCUCUCGACCCAAGGAGUAGAAUCGAACCCCCUCAGCUCAGCCGUGCACUAUUUGGCCCGCUUUGGACUGCUUCCGGGCCUCGAAAGGUGCCGCGCUUUGGAGUUUGUUGCCCACCUUUGUGUCCCCGUCAUUGUGAACUUAUCGGAAUUCAAAACCGGUGAGUUUACUCACUAAACUCUGCUUAGGGAGUUAAUUACGCUCAAGGGUUGGUUAGUUUAUGCUAAUUAGGGAUUAGAUGGUUAGUUAAAACGGAUUACCAAUUUAAUUAUUCAUUUAUGCAUGUCAAGUGGUUAAAUUGGCGUAAUUAGCAAAUCAAUAGGUCGUAUUACUUAUCUAAAUAGGUUCAGAAAUUUUCCAGACCCGUUUCAAUAUUUAAUUAGGCUUUUCCGGCCUAAGUUUGUAUUUUUAGAAUUUAUUAGCAUUUAUUUAAUUAAUUUUGAUAAUUAUUUAAUUAUUUAUUAUAUUUCAAAAAUUAUACCGGGAUAGCCAGUGACCGAAAUUUCGUGCUGAUUGCAAUGGUGCAUUUAGUUUAUUUAUCUGGAUGCUAAUUUGUGCAAAUUAAGUUUUAAUUGUAAUUUUGGGUAUUUAUCCCAAAAUUUAGUAAUUUCAAUAUUUAAUUAGAGAAUUACCGGCCGUCGGUUUACAACGCCAAAAAUAUUUUUAUAGAUUAAAUAAUUAGUGGGAUUAUAAAAUAUAUUUUAUUUUUGGUUUAGACUUACCGUGUACCCACACACGAUUAUUUUUAUCAAGUAUCAUGGAAACAGUGAAUUUGUCAGUUGAUGGGUGUGACAUAUCUAUAUCAGCUUCGGUGAGCUAUAAUUUACAUAUAUUAGCUUCAGUGAGCAUAUAUCAACUUCGGUGAGCAUAUAUCCGCUUCGACGAGCUAUACUAUUAUCUAGAUUAGCUUCGGUGAGCUAUACUAUCUAUCUAUAUUAGCUUAGGCAAGCAUUUAUUUAUAUAUCAGCUUAGGAGAGCAGUGAUCACUUCUAAAAAGUGAUUUUAUUGAUAGUAUCAUUUGAUAGAUAGUAUAAAUUGAAUGGAGUGAAUGGUUGGUUGAGAUUUAUGAAAUGUACUGACUUGCAGGAAGGAACGGAGGCGAAGGUAAGUCACCUAUCUCUUGUGUGCAUAGGUAACCUUCGGGCAUAUUUCCUUCCUAGUCGGAGUUUAGGGGGUGAAUUUGCUGAGACGUUGUCUCACCUCGUCAUGAGCUAACAUUUACAGGUCCUUAGAUGGCUAUACCUCCCGAGCAUUUUAACCAACCGAAGAAGGUCACCGAACAACACUCUCAAAUUCCCCUCCCUGGGAGCCACAGAGCCUGGGGCAACGAACUCAUAAGAUCCAUUGUUUGGGUUGAUGAGGGUUUAUCUUGGAAGGUACCCCAUAAAUUCAUAUCAUGGUAUCGUUAUGGGCAAGAUGGACCUAGAGAAGGCCCCCUUCUAGAGUCUGAGAUUCCUAGGUUGGUGUUGGAGAUCGCUUUUGACAAUGACACAACUGACCCUCCUCGUGGCUCAGUGGUAGACCCAAGUCUUUUGGAUCCAGAGUCCCCGGAGCACUCUGUGGAAGACUUGAAUGCUUAAAGGACCUAUAGCCUCUACCCCUUUUUGUAGACGUUGUAUAUAGAUCAGCUAGUAUUGUAUAUGACUUAGUCUGAUGUGUAUAUAAGCGUGUUGUGGUUUGAAAAAUUUAUGGCCUACUUUUCUAUCCCAUCUUUGUUGUUGUCUAGGGAUUUAUUAUUCGCUUCCGCAUGCACAUUAAAAUGAAUGAGCUAGCGACGUGUCCUAGGACAUCGCAAUUUAUUCUACCACCGAAAGAUAGACACACACUCGGAGGAUCGAGACAUGACAAAAUCUGUCACUCUCCCCUUGAAGCUCAUAAAUUCUACGGUGCUCAAUUUCUCUCAUCACCAUCACGGUACCUCAAACGGUCCUUAGUGCACCACAUUUUGGAAUACCAACACCCAAUUAAAUUCAAGAAUACUCAAGAAAAUCAGAUUUUUCUUCAAUGCCGGAAUAUAUCUCACUCUGAACUAUGUCCCACGAUGAUGUUAUGCGUUCUAAUUCCAUCAUUGGCUCCACCACGAAAUUACUCCUAUCAGGUUCCCUUCCGCACAGGGAGAGAAUCUUCGAGUUUCCCUGAAGAGCACGUCAGAUGUCCACAUUUCGGUUUUCCAUACUCUCACUCCGUCUCUUCUCAGGCAUCAAGUAUUGAGACUGUCAAAUAUGCGUGGGUUUUGACCAAGUCAAAAGAGAGAAAAGUAAGAAAAAAAUAAAUUCAAAGGAACGAAAAGCCAAAGAAGAGGAAAAAAGGGAAAGGGACGUUCGGCUCCUCUCUUUUUAACCAAGGGCCCGCGCAAAAGAGAGAAACAGAGAGAGAGAGGGAACAAAGAAAGAAGAAAAAAGAAAAAGAAAGAAGAGGGGUAUUCACCGCAAAUGCCUCACCAAACCGAUCUGACUUCGUAAUGCAGCGUAUGGUAAGUACUCACGUCCCUCGUUCAUCCAAUUAGAGUAGUUUCUGUAGUUAGAUCGUAUAUUCGAAGUUUUGUGAAAAUCAAGCCUCAAAAUCCAAUUUUUUUAUUAUUCCAGCUAUGAAAUUUCUUGGGAACGGAGGAUCGUGAUGUUGUAGAGUUGUAGAGUUUGACAGUUGUUGAUUUGAGGCAACGAUUUUGUGGGAGAAAAUUUUUAGGGUUUCGUGUUCACUUCGGGUAAGCAAUUGGUUGAUGCGUAGGAGUUAUUUUGUUAGCAUUUAAGCUUAGUUUAACUGAGCCGUAGUUGAGAUAACAUUUUACUUGGUUUUGAUGUUAUUUCUCACUUAUAUGAUAGGAUUGUGAGUUUGUUGAUUCAAGUGAGCCUUGUUAUUUGGUUGUAGGCGUUCUUAGGUGAGUGAUGUAAUCUCCUUUUUAAAUUUGCAAACUCAUAUUUUGAAAAUGAAAAGUAGAGGUAUAUUAUGUGCAAGUCAUGAGUUGGCAAAAAGGCAAAAGUAGUGGAACUUGCUUUUACUACUUUUUAUUCAUUGAGAAUGAUUUGAGAAAUUUUUUAUAGAAAGUGUCGUGAAAGUUUUAAUGUGUGUAUUACAAUGAGAACUGAUUCAUGAAAAGAGUUCUUUGAUGAUUUGGGAAAUAUUCAACGAGAAAGACAUUUUGAAUUGUUACUAGUUUAUAAAAUGAAUUCUAUAAUGAUAUGAAAAAUAUAUUGUGAAAUAUAUUUAUUAUGUCUGAUGGUCGAGUUGAAAAAGAGGAUAUAGUUUGGUCUAAUGGUCAAGUUGGAAAAGGGGAAAUAGUUUGGGUUUCCGAAAGCUUUUGAGAAAGAAUUGCAUUGACUUGCGUUUGGUUUAUGAAAGGUAAUUUGAUUUGGUAUGCGAAAUUGAUUUGUCGUAUAGAUUUUGAAUUGAUUUGUAAAAAGUUAUGUUUUGGUUUGUGAAGCCAAGUGUGAUGUAGAUUGAUAAAGGACUAGGUGUUACACGAUAACGUAACUUCGUGAGAGCCACCUUUAAAGCCUAGUACCAUUAACAUGUGUUGGAAAAAGACUAAGUACUACACGAUAAUCUAAUUUCAUGAGAGUCACUUCUAGAGCUUUGUAAAAUUGAUAUGUGUUGGAAAAAUGACUAAAUACUACACUAUAACAUAAUUUCGUGGAAGCCACCUAUAAAGUAUUGUACCAUUUAUAUGUAUUGGAAAAAUACUAAGUACUAUACAAUAACGUAAUUCAUGGAAGUCACAUCUAGAGUCUUGUAUCAUUGACAUGUGUUGGUCAAUGGCUAAGUGCUAAACAGUGAUGCAAAUCUUGUGGAAGCCAUCUCUAGGGUCUUGAGACGUGAUGUGAUACUAGUUUGGAAAAUGGAAUGAACCAAUGACAUGAGAUAUGACGAGUUUCAUUAUUGAACUGAAUCCGUGAUACUUGUUUUGAUAUUAUGGAUAAACGGGAAAUUUUGUUAUUGAUAUAGCAAGGUUGAAGUAAUAUAGAACUCAUUUUAUUCUUGUAAGUUGUUAUAUAUCAGAUUGGCAUAAAUGAGUCAUGUCUUUGAGUUUUAUAUGUGUAAUGUGGAGUCUUGAUCUACUAAGAAGAUAUGCACUACUCACUACGGUUGCUCACUCCUUUCCUUCCCAAUCCUUUCAAGUCCCUCAGUGAGCGCUUAUAAAGUGAGAGCGAUAUCGACAUCGACGGGACUUUUGAGAGUUGGAUUUGUGUGAUUGGAGGCUGCAAGGACGUAUGAUUUAGGGUGUGACAGAGAUGGUGAAAGAGAAUUUGGAAACGAUCUGAGACUUGACCAUGAAAAGUGAAAACGGAGAUUACAGACCAGGUAUAGUUUUUUAGAGCAAGAAUUAAAUAAAUCGAAGGUCCGUUUUCGGAUGUCAUAAAUAUAUCUGUUUCUUCACAGUCCAUAACUUUCCCGUGCGAUACGAACAAAUCUGAGAAGAAAUUAAAAGUGAUUUAGUAAGUGAAUUUUGGCAAAUGUCUCCCUCAUAUGUCAAAAGAAUAGUAAUCUUUUUUCUCAAUAAAUUAUCUGUAGCACGGCUAGCACAAUGGCACCGCCGUUCACUUAAAAUGACAGCCGCUUUUCAACGUCUAACACAAUUCUGACAGAUGGGAACCGACGUCUUGUAAAAUGACAAAUUUUUUUUUUUUUUUCGGGGUUUCAAAAGGCCAUCUUACAGACAGCACCUUGAGGACGUUUGAAGUUAGAUUAUGAUAACCAGAAUUAGUAGUUAAUUGUUGGUAUGAAGGGGUCAACUUAAAGUCCAACUAAUCAGUAUUAUACUGUUAAGGGGAAAGCAGCCCUUUGUUAUUUCACCGAUAUAAUCUCGUCCGCCCAACAUCUUAAGCUCCGUGCAUAGAUCCAUUAAUGUCGCCUUAGAAGCCGAUCACUUCUCUGCUGUUCUCAUUGUUGCGAAUACGGAAUCACAUCUUUGUCGUGCAAUUGUCAUCCAUCCAGGCAAUGCACGAUGAAGUUUCUAAGUGUGCCACUGAGUUUGGAAAUGUCGUUUGUACGCUGGUUUAUAAACAGUAAACUCUUAAGUCCUAAUUUCAUCGACUCUUCCUCUUGCACAUCAUUUAAUUAUGUUUUUACGCGGUUCAGGUCCAACAUUUCGGCUCAUUCCUGUUUCAAUGAGUGACAAAGUCAGACAGAAGAUUAAUCAGCCAAGUUUCCUCUCCUCUUUAAUUUCCUCAUGAAUCAGAAGUCAGUUUAGCACUGUAUCAGCUGAACAUCAUCUAUGGAGUCAUGCUUUCCAAUUCUUCUAUGCGGCUUGUGCUUCAUGUCCCUCGUGUUGCAGAUAAGCUAUGCCUUGGACUCCAUAUCAGCCGGCCAGAACAUCACAGAUGGUCAAACGAUAGUCUCUGCCGGUGGGAACUUUGAGCUAGGAUUCUUCAGCCCCAGCAACUCCAAGAACCGGUACGUGGGCAUAUCGUAUGAGAAGCUAUCAACUGGGAGGGUGGUUUGGGUCGCAAAUCGUGAAAAUCCCCUGAAAGACUCUUCAGGAGUCCUAAAGCUCACUCCUGAGGGUGUACUGAUUCUCCUGAACCUUACCGAUGGGGUCGUUUGGUCCUCCAAUGUGUCGAGAUUGGCCCAGAAUCCGAUUGCGCAGCUUUUGGAUUCUGCCAAUUUCGUAGUAAAAGAAGAAAAUGACAAUGACUUGGGUAACGCAAUCUGGCAGAGUUUUGAUCACCCUUGUAAUUCGCUUUUGGCUGACAUGAAGCUUGGUAAAGACCGAGAAAAAGGCCUGGACCGGUACUUGACCUCAUGGAAAAGCAGGGAUGACCCUUCACCGGGUGAAUUCACAUAUAGGCUCGAUACUUCAGGAUAUCCGCAGCUGAUCCUGAUGAACAGAUCAGUAGUGCAGUCCAGUUCGGGACCUUGGAACGGCAUUCGGUUUAGCGGGAUCCCUCAGUUGACGCAAAAUGCAGUUUUUGGGUUUGGCUUAGUCUUCAACCAAAAUGAAAUUUACUAUUACUUCAAUCUUCUGAAAAGUUCUGUCCCGUCAAUACUGGUUUUAAAUGAGAAUGGUAUCGUUGAGCGCUUCAAUUGGGUAGACCGGACACAGGGUUGGAUUCUGUAUUCGUCUCCUCAAACAGAUGACUGUGACACUUAUGCAUCAUGUGGAGGGAAUGGGAGUUGCAACAUUGCUACUUCUCCAAAAUGCACGUGUUUGACAGGGUUCGUGCCCAAAGACCCUAGCAACUGGGAAUUUGGGGAUUGGUCAAACGGGUGUGUCCGGAGGACUGAACUGGAUUGCUCGGGAGGAGAUAAAUUUCUGAAGUACACCCAAGUGAAGUUGCCUGACACGAGGCAAUCGUGGUUCAACGAGAGAAUGAACCUUCAAGAAUGCGAGCAGACAUGCUUGAGGAACUGCUCGUGCACAGCUUAUUCAAACUUGGAUAUCAGAGGGCAAGGAAGUGGAUGCUUACUUUGGUUCGGUGUCCUGAUGGAUAUUAGACUGGUCAACGACAACGUCCAGGAGUUUUACGUAAGGAUGGCUGCAUCAGAAGUUGGUACGUGUAUAAACCCUGAGUUACUUUCGAUAUGAUGACCCAAGGAAGAGAAUGAGUUCAAAAUAACUGUCGGAUUCUUAGUAACUCUAUUUUCAAUUUAUUGUAAUGUGUAUCAAGGCAGCAGUUUCAGCGGAAAUACUGGCGCAAGGAAAAGCACGGGCAUCAUUGUCGGCACCGUGCUGUCUGCGGUGCUUCUUCUUGGUAUCGCGGCUGUUUUCACGAAGUAUAGGAAAGAUGGUAAAAUCGUUUUUAUCAGAAAAUUACGGUUUCCAAGCAAGAUGCCUUUCUUGAUCCACAAGAGUCGUUUUUUAACUCUUCUUAGCAUAGGUUUUAAACGUUGUUGCUCUGCAUGAAAUGCAAAGUUUCAUCAGAUCAUCUCUCUUUGAAAAUUUCGAUCAAUUGGCCUGAAAAAUAUGAAUGAACCAAAUGUGUGUUGCUUUGAAUUUUGUUUUGGGUUUUUUAAAGCUCAAUUAUGAUUUCUCUUUAGUUGAUGAAUUUACUCACUUUAAUUUCUACUUGUAGGACAAAUCUUUGGAUUCUCCCAUCAAAGCCGUAGUGAAGAUCUAGACUUACCUAUGUUCGGCCUCACAACCCUAGUGAACGCGACAGGUAACUUCUCUGAAGACAACAAACUCGGAGAGGGAGGCUUUGGAGCUGUCUAUAAGGUGACUAUUCUCAUUUUUUGGAAUUCUAAAUCUGCUCGUACAUAUCCAAAUCGAAAAGGGAGCAAAAGAACUUCUAUCUUUUAGGGUGUUCUGAAAAAUGACCAAGAAAUUGCCGUGAAGAGGCUGUCGGAAAACUCUAGGCAGGGACAGGUCGAGUUCAAGAACGAAGUCGCUUACAUCGCAAAACUUCAACACCGAAACCUCAUCAAGAUUCUGGGAUGCUGCAUUCAAGUAGAUGAAAUGAUGUUGAUCUAUGAGUUCUUGCCCAACCGAAGCUUGGAUUGUUUCAUUUUCGGUUUGCUUCGCUCCAGUCCCUACAUUUUAAUUGCUUUUGUCAUCGAAAAAGAGUGAAGAAGCUUCCAUUUCAUAACUCAUAAGGCCUAUAAUUUGGCAGACCAAGAGAGGGGUGUUUCCCUGGAUUGGCCUAGGCGCUUCACUAUCAUCAAUGGCGUAGCUUUGGGGCUCCUAUACCUUCACCGAGACUCAAGAUUAAGGAUUAUUCAUAGAGAUCUGAAAGCUGAAAACAUCCUGCUCGACAACGAAAUGAAUCCGAAGAUAUCAGACUUUGGUUUGGCGAGGAGUUUCGGAGGUAAUGAGAGCGAAGCAAAUACAAAGAGAGUGGUGGGAACAUUGUGAGUUCUCUUGACACAUGAUCUCCUCUGAUUUUGGUCCAAUUGCUUCAAGAACUAAUCAUUCCUUUCAAUAACUUUUUUGCAUAGUGGUUACAUGUCCCCAGAGUAUGCCAUCAACGGCUUUUAUUCGGUAAAAUCAGAUGUCUUCAGUUUUGGCGUUUUAGUACUGGAAAUCGUGAGCGGGAAAAGAAAUCGAGGUUUCAAUCAUCCUGACAAGUGUUUAAGCCUUCUCGGAUAUGUAAGCGUAAAGAUUUAUCAGAUUUCUUUGCUUAUUUAUCUUCAGUUAGUUUCUAGUCUUAUUCUAGAUGACUAACACAAUAAUGCAGGCCUGGACACUCUCAAGAGAUCAAAAGUUCAUGGAGCUCGUCAAUCCAUCGAUUGCAUCCGCAUUUAACCCUGUGGAAGUUUUACGAUCCAUCCAUGUGGCUUUGUUGUGUGUUCAAAAUAAUCCGCACGAUAGACCGGAGAUGUCAUCUGUGGUUAUGAUGUUGAAUAGUGAGAGCACAUUGCCUCAGCCUAAACAGCCUGGUUUUUUUUACGAGACAUCUGCAUCCGAAGCAAGUUCUUCAAGCGACAGCAGGCAUAAGAAAUAUUCAGCCAACGAAAUAACUAUUUCACAUUUACUGCCUCGAUGAUAUUUCUGUAAUUUCAAUUAUGUUUAUAUUGAUCCCAUAUGAAUACGAGAGGAUCAUGGCAUUUGUAUGAGAGUCAUCUCUUAAUCUGGAAUUGAAAGACCUUACAGGGACAUGUGAAAGAUUCCUUUGUUCUUCCAAAAUUUUCUGGAUUCCGGUCAGAAAACGAAGAAUGUGUACACGGACCACAAAGUGAAAAUUUCAGUCUUUUCUUUUUAUGAUAUUCUAGCAAAGAAACCCUUGAAUACCUUAUUAAGAAUACCCAUGAACUUAGGGAAGUAAACUCGCAUUUUUGAAAGAAUCCUUAAUGUUUCAAUGUCUGAUUCACUUUGAAUCAACAAAAUUAUAAAUCAGGGAAAAAGUGGCCAUGACUACAAGCGAGAUCGUAAUCAGUACUAAAACCGUUGCUCUGUCAAGAUCUGCACAGUGAUGUUUCUUCUAUCCUAUCAUGCCAAAAUAACCAUGUCCUUCAGAUCACAGCCUGCAUUAUGGUGACAUCAACAAGCUCAAAUGCACCUAAAACAGGAAAAAAGGAAAAGGAAUUGACUUCCCAAAAGUGUUGGCUAUAAAUGAAAGAUUAUUGUAUCAUCUUAAGAGCCAUCUUUGGGACUCUAGACGAACAGAAUAAGAACAGAAAUCUUACACAGCAUAGAGGUGUUGGAAAAUGCAUAAAGAAGUAGGAAUUGGGUGGGAAUGAGAUUGACUGACCUCCUUGCUACUAUAGUCAAUGGGCACAACCCAUUACAAUCACUAGAUUGGCCCAGACAGUUCACUAUCAUCAAGGAAAUGAGAAUGGAGCUAUUGUAAUUGAUAUUGCAAUGAACCUGAAGAUAUUGGACUUUGAUUCACUAAGAUGUUUCCGACGUAAUGAGAGGGAAGGAACCAAACACAGAGACUAAGGGAGCUGUCCGAACAUAGUGAGUCCUCUACUGAAACAUCUGAAUUAUGCUUAAAUUUGCUUCAAAAACUAAUACUUCUGUUUGAUCAUUGAAUGUAGUGGUUAUAAACCCUCUCGGUAUGCCAUCGAUACUGAAUAGACUUGGGUUUCAUUGGUACAGUAUUCUAGUCAUCCUAAUCAUAGGCCUGGGAUGCCUCUGUGGUUAUGAUGCCUGGGGUAGAGCGCAUUGCCUCAGCCUAACUAGUUCAAUUAUUCCUUAGAGGAGAUUAUAUUCAAAACAAGUUCUUCAAGUUACGGCGAGUACCCAAGAUUUUCAGCCUAAUUAAAUGACCAUUUCUGGUAAAAUCUAGACAGACAAAUCUGCUAGCUCCUGCUGACCAACCAUCAUGAUUUGGUACAGCACAAAAAAACUGAUGGUGUUUAAUCUAACAUUAUGAAGUUAUCGCUUCCAUUUAUUAUAUCAAGAAUUUACAUUACAGAAAGGAUCAGUUUACAUACAUGAGUGCUGUUGGUGCUUCUACCUUGCAUCGCAUUAUAUUAAAUUUUCCAUGAGUUUUCACUCCAGAGAGUUUAAACAGUCGAGAAGGAGAACCUAGUCACACGUACUUUUUACAUAAUGCAGUAUAAUAGUUUAGGCUGCACAAAAUUAUAUCUUUACCCAUUCUAGGCCCGAUGUCCCAUCUGGUGUGUUGCUCUGUUGAAGUUCCAAGUAGUCCUUGUACUUCAUCUAGUUGUACACCGCUCAGUUGUUCUCGCCAUCCACCAGCUGUUCCACUGGCAUGACAACUGUGUCCAGCGACGGUCCACUAGAUAUAGAGAUUGAUAGCCUUGCUGUUCAUGAAAGCUGGAUGCAGAAUGCUCUUGUACUUCCCAUUGCUCAUAACCUUGCGUGAAAAGUGUCGAGAAAAAGAAAAAAGUUAGUUGCAAAUAAGCUUUAUGGUAAUGAGAAGAACUAUAUGUACCAUAGAUUAUGUGUAAUAACAAUGCCCUUCCAUAAAGACCUCUGUCGUAUCUGCAUCUAUAAACCAAGGCACACUUUACACUUCGCACACCAAAAUUUGAAACAAAUUGGACCUCUCUUGCAAAAUUUAUGGGGGAGAUUUGAAAGAUGAAACAUUAAUUCCUACCUAUGUACCUCGAGGUGACCACCAGUGUUGGCCAAAACGGCGUUUGGAAUGGGAUCGACUUCGACCCACUUCCAGCUGAGGUGCACUGGAAGGCCACCAAUUCCAUUCUGCAUGAGGAUGGUCAACAGGCCAUCGUCCAGGUGUCAGACCAUGCCCCAAGCUAGUUCCGGCUGCGGGCACAGCGGAUACAGAUUCGCCGUUAAUAUCUGGAGGCUUGAAUCCAGGUUCACUGCCUCGUUGAUAUAGCCCAAUUGGAGUCGUGAGAAGGAGCGGGCCUAAGAGGAAAGCGAGCUCGAGAGAGUGUGAGCUCGAGGGAGUGAGGGAGGCUCAGUUUUUGCCUUGGUCGAGAGAGAAUCCAGAGAGAGACCGAGGGUCGAGUACAAGGAGCCUUAUCUAGCGACUCAACCACACUCCACCACCGUCCGACGACCUCUCCCAGCCGACGCCCUUGAGCCAAACCGGUAAGCCCCAACCCUCUUGUUGGCCAUAUUUUCGAGCAUACCGGGCCAGAGCUUGCGGCCGUUCGACUCACGCGAGCUCUGGCCAUCGCCCGUUGUGAGCGUCCUAGUUUAGCCAUCGAGAGUCCCGACGCAGAUCCCGAUCUUUCUUGGGCCGAGAAUUUUUAGUUUCGAUAGAGCACUCCACCUGUUCGGUAAAAAGUCUGAAUGAGAUCCAGUCCUGUUUCGUCAUUUAGGCACCGUCCCACCUAGUCGAGGUUUUUCCUGUGAUUUUUUAACGUCCCUUGGCGACCCACGAGCGGCCGCGGAUCUCUUCUGUUCCGGGGGCAUAGGUGGCAGCUCUUGUGGCCAUCGAGUCGCCACCGGUCGGACGAGGGCUAAGCAUUAGGCUCGGGUCGGUCAAAGGCAGCGCCGUCGCGCCUCGGUUGGACUUAAGAAACGCGGCAUCUUGCUGCUGCACCACCUCCGUCGUAUCGUAACUGGUCCGUUGCGAAGUAGCAGGUCGCGAGCUGGGUCAGUGGGCCAAACCCGAUGCUGUCACCAGACUUUCGUCGUCGAUGGCCUGUGUAGAAUAUCAGUCAGCGGCAAAAGAAGUGUUGGUGUUAAGAGUUUUUAGUUUCUAUAAAUAAAUUGCAGACGAUGGAGGGAGACGUUCGGUGAAGAAGACGUGGAGGAGUAGAACGCACGAAGGGGAAGAGGCAAUUAAAAACAAAAGAAAAAGCAAGAGAAAACGUGCACCCAAAAGUUAAAAAGAAAAAGAAAAAAAAAAGCAAAAGUUGCUUCGGGAAGGAGGGGUGGCAGAAAAGAAAGUGCAGUAGAAGAAGACGAAAUAGCGAAGAAAAAUAUUAAAUUUAAAAAGUUAGAAAAAAUAUCUUUUUAUCUAACUGGGUCGGAUCCGGGUUUGGACUACGUUAGCGGGUCGGAUCGGGUUCUUCCGAUCCGAACCCGCUCACUCGAAUAUUAUAAUAUUAAAAAUCUCAACAAAUUAAAAAAUUAAAAAGAAAACAUAAAAAAUAAUAAAAAUAAUAAAAAUUCAAAAAAUCCUCCGAAAAUUCAAAAAAAUUAGAAACAUUUAAAAAAAUCAAUUUUUUUUUUAAGUUUCAAAAAAUUGUAAAAUCUAGAUUUUUUGGGGGGAAAUUUGAAAAUUUAUUAUUUUCUUAAAAAAAUUGAAAUAUUCGAAAAGAUUCUAAGAAAAUUAAAAAAUCUUCAAAAACGUUAAAAUUAAUCUUUUUUUGUUUUGGUGAAGGUAAGAAAUAUAUUGACUUUUAACCAAAGAGCUAUAUAAGGCUAUACGGCAACAACUCGGUCCCAUUAACUUGCACUCACACAGACAACAAAUCAGAGCGAGUGAAAGGGGGCCAAGGUAAAAAAAAACCAAGCCAAGGCAAGGGAAGGGGAAGGCCAAACAACGGCACAGAAACAGCAAGCCUAAACCAACACAAGCAGCAAAGAGACAGCUCUAAUGUUGGUAAUGGACCGUCUCGGAAGCCAGAAGGAGGGCGAAUCCAUCAACUCGCCAAAAUGGAGGGGUUGAGCGACCAGCUUUGCAAUAAUCUUCUGUUAGCCGCAGUGGGAGGGACUUGAUGGAAAGUCAAGGCUUUGUCCUUUAUAACUUGUUCAAGGCGCCUUUUCAUGGCCAAAAGGGAGGGAGGUCUACCCCGGAAUAGUAUAUUGUUAUGCUCCUUCCAAGUGAUGUUGCAUAAAGCAGCAAAUGCAAAGCGAGCAAGAGAAGAGCGGAAGGAAGGUCCUGAAAGUGAAUUGAUUGCCUAAAGCAAGUUUUCCUUCCAAGAUUUAUUCUGCCAAGCAUAAUUAAAUAUUGCGGCCCAAAAAGUGGCUAAGGCAGCAGGAAUGGGGCAUCCAAAAAACAAGUGAUCAAUUGAGUCUGGGCGACAGGAGCAAAAGGCACAGUUCCCAUCCAGUAUUCUACCAAAGGUAAGGAGUAGUACUUGAGUCGGUAGUCUAUUUUUUGUAAUCAACCAUAGCAAGAAUUGGUAGCGGGGUACCAAUGAAUUGUUCCAAAUGAAGGGCGCCCACUGUACUGGAUGACUAGUUGGCCGAAGAGCGUCCCAAGCAGAUGCAGCAGAAAAGGUGCCAUCCGAGCUGCCCAGCCAAAGAAAACGAUCAUCUUCAUCAUUGAGUUCAGGAAGGGGAUCAUCCCAGGAGGUAACCACAUCCAAAACACCCGAAUAUGGGUUAGGACAGGAGAAAAAGUCAGCGACUGUAGCUUCUUUGGGUAACCGAGAGCGGUAAAUGUCUGCAUUGGAAAAUAAUAAGUUCAGCGGCCCUUUGGGGUGCCAGUUGUCGUACCAGAAGGAAGUUGAGCAGCCAUUUCCAACACGCCAGCGAAAGCACUUGCGAAACUUCACACGAAGGUCCAAGAUUUUUUUCCAAGACCAAGAGCAAGAGGUGGGUUUAGAUGCCAGCCAAAAACUAACAUUUUUCAAGAAGACAGAGUGUAUCCAUCUGCACCAAAGGGAUUCUCUAUCUGUAAAUAACAACCAGAUGUGUUUUAGCAUGGCCGCGGUGUUGCUUUCCCUGAGUCUUCGGAUUCCAAGGCCCCCUUCAGAUUUCGGGAGGCAUACAUCAGUCCAAGCGACCUUGGCACCACCCCUACCUAGGUCCGGGCCCUUCCAUAGGAAUUGCCUCAAAAUCCGCUCAAUAUCAUCCAGAACCGAUCUAGGAAGAAUGAAGACAUUCGCCUAAUAGGCUUGAAUGGAAUGGAGCACCGACUUGAUAAGUUGUAGCCGACCCGCAAACGAGAGAAAGCGUUGUGUCCAAGAUUGCAUCCUUGAAGUGAUGAGAUUAACCAGUGUAGCACAAUCAACUUUGCGAAGUCUAGAAGAAAGAACGGGAACCCCCAGAUAUCGGAAAGGCAUGGAUCCCUCUUGGAAGCCAACUAGAGAGAUGAAAUCGCUUCGAGAUUUAGGGCCGACCCCUGAGAAAUAAAUCUCACUCUUAUGUAGAUUCGGUUGGAGGCCAGACCAUGUGGAAAAACUAUCCAAGCCUACCUUGAGAAGAGAAAGGGCGGGCAUAGACGCCUCCGCAAACAGCAGCACGUCAUCCGCAAAAAACAAAUGAGUAAGUCUAAUCGGCUUGCAUCUCCAAAAAAAUUGGAAUGAUGGUUGAUUGGUUUGCUUAGUGAUGAUGCCUGUAAAAACUUCCAUGACAAAGGUGAAAAGGUAGGGUGACAUGGGAUCUCCUUGUCUAAUGCCUCUACCGCUAGGGAAGAAUCCAUGGAGUUCGCCAUUAAGGGAGACCGAGAAAUGAGACGAUCGAACACAGCUCAUAAUAAGGUUAAUAAAGUGGAGGGGAAAGCGAAAAGCUUGAAGCGUUACCUCAAGAAAAUCCCAAUUGAGUGUAUCAUAAGCUUUACGGAAAUCAACUUUGAUGGCGCACCUAGGCUUAUGUGGGUUGAGGUGGAACCCCGCAAAAAGCUCCCGAGCUAUAAAUAUGUUGUCGCUAAUUCGUCUUCCUUUAACAAAGGCGUUUUGAGCAGUACUAAUGACAGAAGGCAUGAUGGCAGCCAUACGGUUGGCAAUAAUCUUUGUAAUGCAUUUGUAUAUCGUGUUGCAACAAGCAAUCGACCUGAAAUCAUUUACCGUAGUAGCAUUUGGGCAUUUCGGUACAAGGGUGAGAAUAGUGUUGUUAGAUUCCUUGAGGAGCUUUCCAGUAGUGAAGAAAUCACUAAUCGCAUUAGUAACCAGAGGGCCAACAACAUCCCAGCAAUGCUUAAAGAAUUCCACGCCAAAGCCAUCGGGGCCCGGUGCUUUACCAGUUGAAAUGGAGAAUAAGGACUCACGAAUUUCCGCAUUAGAAACAAGCCUUGAGAGGUUGAGAACCUGGCUGUCAUCAAGAACCCGAGGGAUGAUCGUUGAGACGUCCUGAGCUGAAGGUAGAUUAGGGAGAGCAGUGGAGGCCAAAAGGUCUCGGAAGUGAGAGACCACAAGUUGUUGAACUUGAGGAGGGUCUUGAACUGUAUUCCCUGCAUCAUCCCUUAAAAAUAGGAUUCUAUUGAGGAGAUGCCUCUUGUUCACUGAAUGGUGGAAGAAUUUGGUGUUAAGAUCACCCUAUUCAAGCCACUUAACCGGAGACUUCUGCUUGUAAAAGCUUUCUUCCUGUAGGCGUAGGUCCGAGAAAGAGUUUAUGCAUUCUCGCUCGUGGGCUGCAAGCUCCAAGUUAAAUGGAUCCAAAUGAAGGGCUUCCUGUGUGGCAGUUAAAGCAUUACAGGCCUCCAUAGUUCUAGCAGAGAUGUCUGAAAAUGAUUCUUUGUUAAGGCUCUUGAGCUUAGCCUUAAGCAACUUCAACUUAACAUAGAGAGUGUACAUGGCUUUACCCCUAACCGGCGAGUCCCAAGCUUGGCGAACUAAUUGGGUAACGGACGGAUGUUGCAUCCAAAAGUAAAAAAAUUUGAAAGGCUUCUUUGUCUUUGGAGUAGGGAAAAUUCUUACCACCAUUAGAGAGUGAUCUGAGAUGCCGGCCGGAAGAAACGAGGCUUCGGAGAAGGAAAAUGCACUACUCUAGCAAGAGUUGAUGAGCACUCGAUCAAUUUUCCUCUGCUUGCAAUUUUCACCAGAGGAAGUAGCCCAGGUAAAUCUACAGCCAGUAUACCGGAGAUCCUCAAGUUCCGCUUGAAGUAAGCAAGUUCCAAACUCAUCAUAAGACGGUAACCAGGUGGAGAGGCUGCCAGCCUUAUCCGAGGGAAACCUAAUGGCAUUAAAAUCGUCGGAAAUCAGCCACGGCGAAGCAUUACGAGAACCACUGGUCUGGAUCAAGUCUUGCCAUAAAGGACGCCUACGCACAAAGGUGUGCUCAGCAUAUACCACCGAAAGGUAAAAAGCUUCACCAGUAGAGAGACAUUUCAAAUGCCCAUGAAUGACUUGAUGGGAGGAAGAGAGGGAGGUAAACUCAACCGCUUUAGGAUUCCAUCCAAUCCAGAUCCUCCCUUUGUCAGAGUGCUCGUAAUUAGCAAUCCAGACCCAACCAGGCACAAGACAUUGAGAUAACGAAGGAAACAAAAUGGGAGAAGCCUUCGUUUCCAAAAUGCCCAAACAACUCAGGCUAUUGACUCUAAUGAGGUUACGGAUCUCAGCUUGUUUAACAAGAGCACCCAAUCCUCUUAUAUUCCAAGUAGCUAUAUACAUAUUUACAAGAUGGCGGGGGACUUACUUUUUACCUCGCUUUUUCUUCGAGGUAGUUUUCGGUUUAGGGCUACCCGGAGCAUUACUAUCAGAGGAGGUUGGCUGUACUUCACUUGGUUGAUGGAUAGGGGAUGGAGGUCGAACCUGUUCAGCAAGGGGAGACAGACCCACCGGAACCGAGGAAGCAGCAAGCAACCUAUCUUCUUCAAAUUCGGAUCUAGCAAUAGAGGCCUCAACAUCCGAAUCAUCCUAAAAAACAGAGGAGGUAACCACUCGCAUGCGGGGGGCGUUAAGGUUUAUUGACAAGGAGGGUCCAGCCUUUUGUUGGUUAGGAAUAACCCCCUUAGUAGGAAUAACUGGGCUUUGAGGAGGAUCAAUAGCGGAGACAGGCAAAGAAGCACCAGCACGGGUGCCUUUUUUUCCCUGAACCACCUUCCACCCUUCAUCUACUCGAGUUUGCUGAGCAUGAUCAGCAGGCCGGGAUAAGUCACCAGUAGGGUUGGUAUUUGCAGCAGAUGUACUAGAAGGACGGGCAGGUAUGUUGGGGCCACAAACAUGACCAAAGGAGCAACAAGCAGGGCAUACAACAGGCUUCCAUUCAUAUAGAACGUUCACUCGGCGAGUGGUUCCUUCGAUACCAAUUGGUAUAGACUCUGGUAAGGUAUGUUCAGCAUUGAUCUCAACGCAAACACGCACAUAAGAUAGGGUGCGAACCUGUUCCGUGUGCUGAUCCACAUAUAAGGGGCGACCAAUAGUACUAGCAAUAGUGCUAAUUCCCAUGGCAGACCAAAGAGCAAGCGGAACGUUCCUGAGUCGAACCCACACCGGAACCGUUUUGUGGCUGUUCCUUUUAAGUUCUAGCAAUGGGUGCCACUGUUGCAGAAUUAGAUGCACCUUCGCCACAGUGGGAGGCGCACCAUCAAGAACCUUCCUCCGAAAUUCAAGGUCCGGUAGAUGAAAGAAAUAAAAACCAUCAUCAUUCGCUCGGACUUCCAGAAGUUGGGACCCCCAAACGUUCUUCAUAGCAAUUUGAGUCAUCUGGAAUGGCAAUCGUUUGCCUACAUAAUAACCCACAAGGCAUUCCUUCCAUUUAGGAUCACAACCUUCAAGGACUUCGGAUGGAAUCUGGGCAAAUGGUUCACCAUCAACCACAUCUGGAGGCACAUAAGUGAGGUCAUAUCCCUUGGUUGCAGCCUUAGCUAUAUUUGCCCAAGAAAGGGCUUGUGCCUUGGCAGCCUCAGGAUCUAACGGGGCAACACGCCCUCUAGAAGGCUUACGCGUCCCUGCAGGUUUAGUGUCAGGUUUACCAGAGGUACCAGCAACAAUAGAAACAGCAGGUGGACGAGCUCGAGUGGGAGGAGAUUGGGCAGGGGAGGCAACAGCCUUGCCCUUGCCCGAAGGAGGAUGAGAUCUCUUACCACGGCUACGGCCCCUGGACCAAUCACGCUGGGCCUUCCUUGAAGUACCGCGUUCACGAGCGGACGUAUCCAUUUGCUCAAAUAGCCCAGCACAGCAGAAAGGAAACCAGAAAAACCUAUUUAAGGAAGAGCAUUAAUACCCGGGGAAGCCAAGUUUUGCAAGAUGCUUCGGUGGAGUCCAAGGGUGGAGGAGGGAGAGAAAACCCACGAAGACCCAGCACCCCACACCAGCCGAGGAGCUUGCACCAGCAGAAUCGGAUUCGUGAAAACCAGAAAAAAGGGGGGGCGCUCCGAUCGAAGGGCACCGGACAUCAACGGGGAGGAGAUAGCCUAAAUCCUUCGGUGAAGAAGGAGAGGGUGGUUGGGAGAAGGGAUCUACCGGAGCUCAGCUCCAACGAUCCAUCCAAAUGCCCGGAUUCAGCGGCAGCAGUCGCGAGUGAACAGGAGAGCGAUCGCACGGCUUGAGAGCAUUUUGUGAACAGUACAGGUCAGGUCAAAGUCUGCGAGACGUUAAAAUUAAUCUUUCGGGCUAUUUUCUCCUAAAAAAUGGAAGUAUUCCAAUUUAAAACUAUGUUUAAGUUUGAAUAAGCCUUUAGGGCUUUACCUAAGAGUUUCAAUUAUCCUUAGGAACAAAUGCCUUGAAAUGCACAAUAUUGAUACAGUGAGUUUGGCUUCUCUUUAGUCUAGUUAGGAUUAACAUUUGUCUUCUCUAAAGUAUUAAAUCUUUGCUCUCCUAUGCAAUUUAUUUAAUGAUUUCCUUGGUUACUAAUUGUUAUUUUAAUAAUUGCACAACCACAUGAUCAUCUCAUAUGUUAACGGAUUGGUCAAAAGUUAAUCCAAACUGCCUGACAAAAAUCAUUUUUAAAAUAAAUAAGAUUAAAUACUGAAAUGACACUAAUUUGUUAAUUAGUGUAAUGAAGUCCCCGACUCUAGAUACUCUAGUUGCAUAGAAAGUGAGGUACACUCACAUACCUCAUUUAGUUUCUAGCCAACCCCAAUAGGCUAGUGGCGACUCUUUAUUACGAAAUUCUUAAGAAUACCCCAAUGUCGGGCAAUAUAUGGUCUUGGGAGAGCUUGUGCCUAAUUAUGUGCUUUAGGUCCGUCUUUUAGGCAAUAUCCCUAAACCUAUUUUCUCCUUUGAGGGGUUGGUAGUGACAAGCGGUCUAGCGAUGGCUUGGCAUCGGCAUGGCCUUUGGACUUCUCAAGGGACCAAACUAAAGAAGAAAUGAGCAAGAGGGAGUUGCUGUGGGGGCUAGGUAGUGCCCUCCUCAGCUUCAAAGCUUGGUUAUAGUGACAGAAACGGCGUGCGGAGGGUGGUGCAGUGUCGAGGUUCAAAGGACGGUCGUUGUUAAUAGAAAAACAAAGGGAAAAUGAAGAGAAAAGUUUGCAAAAGAGAUGCAAAUGGAUGAGGGGAGGUUCAGUUAUGGCAAGGAGGGAGAGAAUAGUGAGAUUGAGAGUAAAAGCGAAGAAAUGAGAGAGAAUGAGAGGGAGGGAGGAUGGCCAGCGGUGUGGGGCAAGAGGAAAAAGAGAGACAAAGAGAAAUUUUGCUCAUUCAUGCCCAUCAAAUCCACAUCUUCUUGGACUCAUAUCAAUCAAUCAAGGUGGCUUGUUUAAGAAGGAAAAAUUCUUACAUUAAUGAGGUGAUUUAAGCACUUGAAUGGGUAAGCUUAGGUUUAGGGUAGUUAGGUAGGCUAGGUGGCUUCCCUCAAGCUCUUGGAUGCCCACUCUUACUUGUACCGUCACCUCUAUAUCUAAUUUCCCACUUUGUCCUUUUGUACUUAGUCCAAUGGAAGGGCAUUUUAGUCAUUUCAUCAAGAUUGUGCACUAUUCAUGCACUAUUCACGUAUUUGGUUGCAUUAAAUGUCAAUAUUUUAUGAAAAAAAGGAUUAGUGGGCUUGGAGGGUCCAUGGGACUCCCUUGGCUGCCCCCCCUUAGGCCGCCCACUCUUUGGGCGUGUCUCUUCUUCCAAUCUGAAGAAUGGUUUUGUGCAAUUUUUGAAAUAAUUAUCAUUACCUUAUUAAAUGGAUUUGAAAAUUAUAAAAAUUUAAUAUGUUGUAGAGAAGACUUCAACUAACAUUUUAAAUGAGGAAUCCAAGCCUAAAUCAUUUUGUAUUAAGAGUAGAAAAUGACCGAAUACAACCUAAAAAUCUUGUCCGUUUAACGGUCUUAAUGAACACAGAAGAAAACCCAUUUCAAUAUGAAAAUAUUUGUAAAAAACUUUGAAAUUUUAGUAUGUUGUAGGCAUGGAUGUCCUCUACAACUUUUGUGAAGAAAACAUGUUCAUAUUUCAAAGGAAAAUUUUUAUAAAAAAUCGAGAAGACAAAUAGGACACCAUUUUUAUUGCAUUGGGGUAGAUUUUACGCAGUAAAAGAAUAGGCUUUCGUACCAACCAUUCACCUCAGAAAAAUCUAAAAUUAGAGCAUGUUUUAGAUCAAUAUUUUUUGAACAACUUUCAUCAAGGAAGUUUUGUGAGAUUCAAAACACAGAAAGCCCUAUAAAAUUGGAAAAUAGUGAAGGUCCAGUAGUAUGUACACUAUUCACGCGCAAAGGGCUUGGAUUUGGACUUAACUCAUUCAAUUUGGGCGUAACUUGGGUGGCAGCCCAUUGGGCUUCCAAUUUUCGGCCCAAUUUCACUUAUCCAAAAAUUUGGGGUUUAUCGAUAAUUAAGGAAUUUGAUGAAGUAAUGUCCAAUGGUGGUCACUUAAUCCUUUAAAGUCCGAUAUCUUUAACCAGAUGUAAUUGAAAUCUAUCAAAUGCGACUUAUCAUAAUUAAAAUCAAUGGGCAUCUUUUAGGGGUUUCGCGAGUUUGACUCGUGGUUGAUUCAAUAUCAAUCCUCAAUUCAUUGAUGAUCCUCGGCUAUCAUGUAAUUGUGAGGGGUCAAUUGUUUGCUUCGAAAUUGGUUUAGGGUUGUUUGGAGUUAAUAUAGUAAUUGUGCGGAAUAACCCGCAAUCCGAUUAUAUACUAUUAUCGAAUUGAUCUAUAAUUGUUCCCGGAUCGGUGUGAAAUGACUUAAUAUUAUCUCUCAUCAAUCCUUAUGGUCAAAUUGUCAAUCCAAGUUUGAGUUCUCUAGUCUUCCGCAUCGAAAUCCUAAAUUAUCUUUUCCAAUAGGUUUAAUACUCUUGAAUGGUUCACGAACCAAUUUAAAGUCUAAUUUUACUAAUUGUGCAUUAAUAGAAGUAAACCUCUUAUUAUAUUCUGAAUAGGGUUGAAUUUUGAAGAUGUCACAUUAAACGGGGUGAAUGGUCCACAACUGUUGAUCUUCAUACUAAGAGAAAGAAUAAUGUUAGAAUAUUUACUGUGGCUUAACCAUAAUUAAGGUUAUGGCAUGUAUUGAAAUAAAAUUACCCCUUCAUCUACUCUCUCCUCAUCAUCAACUCGCUAUUCUUUUCCUCGAGAAGGAAUUAAAACAUUAUCACGAUAAUUUGAAAGUUGAGAUGUUCUCUUAAUAAUAUAGAAGAAGAUAGUCCAUGGUAGUGAUUACACGUGGGAUACAAAGACAGACAGCCUGCAUAAUUAACGUGUCCGCAAAGGUCAAGUAAGGCUACAUUGUGGAAGUUGGAAUGUCAUAUCAUUCCAUAAAUCCAUCUAUAAUCAUACAAAGACCUGUCCAUCCACCGUCACUGUGCCUACAUUCAAAAUCGGAAAUGUUGCGUUGAAAUCCGGCUCGGCUCGGCUCUUUCGUCAUUUAGAAGUCCUAACCAAGCCACCGUCGCGAGCAAGGCUCAGCCAACUGGCGCCUGGGGCUGACUCUAAUGGGCUUGUACUCAGCUCAUCCGAUGAGGUGAGAGAAGUUGAGCUUGGCCUUAGACCCCUGCAUUUUAAAAGCAGCCUGGUUGUAGGCCAAUACUGCAUCCUCAAGCAUUUCAUAGGUCCCGAGCCAAAUCCGGGCUCCACUCUUCUUGGGGUCUUUUAUCUCCGCUGCGUAUUUGCCCCAUGGCCUCCUCCUCACCUCUAUAGCGCGUUUCUUCCGCCUUCUUCGCCAGCCCCUUCUCCUCCGACAUAUCAUUGAUGAUGGCAUGACCAACCAGCACCGUGCUUCAAAAUCAAGCUGUUAAAUUGAAGGGGACCCACCCCGAGUGGAGUGCAUCACGCAGUGCACCGUACACAAUCAUGUGCUUGGAGUCGUCGACACUUAGCGGGAGGUCUUCGCUCCAGCUCUCCGUGACCAAAAAGCCGGUGUAGCGUGUAGCUCGAGCACUGACAGUACAUGUUGCCAUCAAGAAGAUGAUAGCGAAUGGACUCGAGAACAUCGAAAUGAGAAAAGGGUUCUCCAGAAUGAAUUUGCACCAGCAUUUUUCCCCCUUUACAUUUUGUAGGGUUUUUCUCUGGGGACUGUAUGGUUGCAGACUUUCAGUUGGUGACCAUGGAUGGACGAAGCAAGAGAAGCAUAUAAGGGUUGGGGAUACGGAUUAGUGCAAAAACAAUAUAUACUUUUUUUAAUUUAUUUCUUCUUUUGGAGUUAUCCGCAAACUUUAAACAGUGGCGAGACUGGAACGAGUGCUUUAAAUUAUAGCGGCAGCUAUAAAUUAAUGUACAUUAUAUAUUAAUCAUCCGAUGCAAAAUUUAAGAAAAAAGGAAUGGGUCACAUUCCUUUUUUAUUUUAUUUUAUUGAACAAGGACUAUAAUGAACAGAAUGCAUGCGCGCGUGUAUUAUUUUAAUUGAAGAAAACAUAAGGUGGAGGAAAUGUUACAAGAAAUGCAUCGGUUAGCACCGCAAAUCCAUGCAAUAAUUUCAUUAUACAAUAACGAGGGACAAGAUCAUAGUGAAAAGUAAAUUAAAUCUCCAAACCUUUACCAUAUGAUUAUUUAAAUAUGUAAUACGUUUUGAAAUUCUCAAUUAACUUAUGGCCAAAUUACAAGUCUUGAUAAGGCGCGUACAGAAAAUUUGUUGGAUCGUUGUGAAGUGAUAAGGCGCGUACGAAGUCUAAGCUUCAAAAUUCAAGAACUGAAAAGGAGAAGUCAGCUUUCCUCAAACUCAGGGUUUAGGUUCAGAUAGCGGGAAAUCUCAAAACCCUAUAACACGUCCAUAUAAUUACCUUCAAUUCUAUGUGACAUAAAAAUAUAAUUUACAUAUAUCUAAGUAUUAAAAAUGGGUACGAGCAAUGGUGGACUACGGAAAAAAGAAAUUGUUAAAUUAAAGAAAGUGGGGUAGGUAAGCGCAAGCAAUUAAAACCUCUUGCACCAUUUUAUAUCACCUAUACAGGCAGAAAAGAUUAUUCGCUAAAACAUUUACUUGCAGAAGAGCAAAAGACUCAUCUGACUCUAAUUUUGCGGUUCCAUCCUUUCUUGUUUUAGCAUUUUGGACUCUCGGGGUCUUCAUUUUAAGCCAUCAAUCUAGAUCAUAUUGUCUCAAUAUCAUAAUCCAUUUACCUUGCUCUAGUGUGGGGAAUGAUCACCAACUAAGUUUGAAAAAUGAAUUUGCAAACUCAAUAGGACUAACAAGGAAUAAAAGUGAGUAUGAUAGAGAAAUGGAUGCUCUUCAUCACGUUCGUUUUUCUCUUCUUCUUUUUUUGGUUGCAUCUCUUCAUCACUUUAAGGCACUUAAAUUCACAUUUAAGUUCAUUUGCAUUAGAGACAUUUAUUGUUACAUCCCGAGCUCCACUGUGUAAUAUUGUCUGCUUUAGGUCAUCCGCCCUAGCACGGACGAAUCGCCAUCCCAUCCACGGUCUUUUCCCUCAUGGCUUUAAAACACAUUACAUAGAUUAGAGGGACCCAAGCCUUAUAAGCUGACCAAGAUCUCCCUCCCUAAGCAAUGUCAGACAAGAGAAGAGAGGGACCCCUUCCUUGCAUACGUUCGAGGACCGUCACUUGGGCUGUCACACUCUCCACAUCUUAAUAGAACAGCGUCCUCGCUAUGGCCCAACACGAGGUCGGGAGUCAGAACAGCAUUCUUGAUGUGGUCCCACACGCGGUCAAGAGUCGACUCUGAUACCACUUGUAAUAUCCUGGGCCCCACUGUGUAAUAUUGUCCGCUUUGGGUCACCCGUCCUAGCGCAGACGAACCGCCAUCCCAGCCACGGUAUUUUCCCUCAUGGCUUUAAAACGCGUUACACAGAUUAGAGGAACCCAAGCCUUAUAAGCUGACCAAGACCUCCCUCCCUAGACGAUGUGGGACAAGAGAAGAGAGGGACCCCUUCCUUACGCACGUCUGAGGACCGUCGCUCGGGCUGUCACAUUUAUAGACUGGUGCAAGUGAAAGCACGAAAAUUCUAUUCAUUUUUCACCUCAUAAUGUCACCAUUACCUAACCACUAGAGUUUACCCCAGUGGCCAUCAUUCUCACAUGAGAAGGGGGAAUUGGGAGGUUUAAAUCCUCACAUUCUCAUAGGGUUGUGAUUAGGACGAUUUAGUAUCUUGUGUGGGUUUCAGUUCCUACCUCCUACAAGAAGGUAGAACAAAAAUCUAAGAGUUGGAAUAGGAGUAAAGUAGGACUGACAAAAAAAAAAAAAAAAUGUCACCCUUACCUCCAUUUGGCCCUUGUGUGGGGUGGCUCUUAAUAGGGUUAAUUUUGAGAGAAAUCCUUUUAACAUUUAGGCUCAAAGGGUUUAAACAACAUGAAAAUUUUCAAUUCUCAUCUCUUAAUGUAUAAGGGUUUGUAUGAUAGGGCUUACCUUUCAUCAUCCUAACACAUCUUAUUUAGCAUUCUCAACACCACAUAUUAACUGAGCUUGUUUCAAAGCUUUAUGGAGAACAAAAUCAACCAACACCCAACGAGGCUGCCUUGUCUUGGGCGAGGGCCAGCCUUGCCAGAUCUAGCCUGGGUGAGGCCGACCCUCGCCGAGCCAUGCCUAGGCGAUGGCUCCCUUUGUGAGGGCUUGCCCUUGCCUGGCUAGACCUCGCUUGUGGCAUGUGAGGCUAGCCAGCCGGCCAUCGGCAAAAGGAAAAGAAUGAAGCCAAAAAAAAAAAAAAAAGGAAAGAAAAAAGAAAGAAAAAAGAAUAAAAAAAUUAAUAAUAAUUCAAAAAUAUUAAAAUAUUAAGAAAAAUUGUCCAUGUCAGUGUGGUGGUCCUAUGCAGCAGCAUCGGCAUUUACAUUAGUAUUUUCCAAACAAAAUUGGUCGAAUUGACUCAAUUGACAUGAAGUGAAAAUGUUUAGGAUUUUUUUCGACAAUUUUCCCUUGAAAUCAUAAGCAUCUUGAUUUCAGCUAAAAAUUCCCGGCCACCCUAUUAAUCCUCCCUCUUUAGAACUUUCACAACUACUUUGGUCCCAUCUUCAAGAAUGCCAUUGUUACACGCCCAAAGCCACCUUCGCCAAGGAUUCUUGACUCAUUGAAAUGAUCAGUAGCUUUUUCAAUGUAAUUGGCGCUGAAAGUUUUAACCGACCCUCCAUAAGUUGGUAAGCUAGAUUCAAAUGACAAUGAGGUAGAGCUUGGGCCACUUCCAAGGAUAGACCCUCGCAUAACUGCAAGACAUCGGCCUCCAUAGUGAGAAUGGGAGAACUCCCCUUGACCCGAUCUUGCAAUACUUAAUUAAAAUCAUAGGCUAAAUUGAAAUUGGGACAUCUACUAAGACUCAUCUUUCUUGAAAUGGCACUAAAUUGAAAUUCCUCUUGUUUCAUUAAUAGCCCUCGUCGGGUGUUGGUCAUUUUCUUGGCCACCACACUCAUGUUACGAAAUCGCACAUCGAUUCCAGAAAAAUAAUGCUCGCUAACAAUUCACUAGGUAGAAUAUAAUAAUUAAAGAAUAGAAUCAGAAGAAUACGUUAGAAAAUUUGUUAACGAAGUUCACCAAAACCUGGGUUACGUCUUCAGGCAGAGGCACUCUGCGAAUCCACUAUAUUUUGAAAAAAUUUGGAAAUACAAUGAUGAUCUUCUCUCAAGAUUAUGGCACAAAGAGAUUGAGAACUCUCAUAAAGAAAAAAUUCUCUUUUUUCUUCUCUCUUUUUCUUGUCUCUCUAUUUUUCUUUUUCAACGUCUAGACGGCCAGUGUCUUGCCAUCGCUAAUAUAAAGAUAUCACUUUUAACCUAAAAGCAAAUCUAAUAGAAAAAGACAAAAAAAACCUUCUAAAUAUAUUUGGCUUCAUCUAUAACAAUCUCCCACUUGAAGACAAAUAUACUAGAGCACCAAGCAACUUUGCAUCCAUCUUCUUCAAAAAAUGGUAGUUGAAAACUUGUGCUUCUGCAAUACUCUUCAUCAAUCAACAUAGAGUAAUACCAAUGGUAGUAGUAUAGAAAAUAUGCUUCUCUUUGUCUACUACCUUAGUUAACAUAUCAGCUGGAUUCUUCGAGCCAUCAAUCUUCUAUAGCUUUAACUCAUUAUCUUUCAAUGCUGACUUGAUAAAGUGAUAACGUUUCUCGAUAUUUUUAGUCCUUAAGUGAUAAGCUGUAUUCUUUGCUAAGUACACUGCACUUUGGCUAUCACUCCACAGUAUAUUGACAGGCUAUUUUCGAUGUAGCUCCUCCAUAUAAUCUUGUAACCACAUGAUUUCCUCGGAGGCUUCUGUGAUCGCCAUGUAUUCUACCUCUGUCAUCGAUAAAGCCACUACUUUUUGUAGUUUAGAUACCAAACUUACUGCUGUACUUGCAACUGUAAAGACAUAUCUAGUGGUACUCUUAUCAUUAUCUCGAUCACCUAAAUAAUCUGCAUCUACAUAACUUGCAACUCUAGAGAUAUAUCACCAUAACAAAGUGAGUAAUUGGAAAUACUUACUAGAUAUCUCAAUAUCCAUUUCACUACAUUCCAAUGCUCUCUACCUGGGUUCUGCAUAUAUCGACUCACAACUCCCACUGCUUGUGCAAUUUCUAGUCUCGUGCUCAACAUAGCAUAUAUCAAACGCCCCAUUGCUGAUACAUAUGGAACUAUCGACAUCUCAUCUUUCAAAGCCUGAGUGCUCAGACACAUAUCCUUGGAAAGUUUGAAGUGACUCGCUAGAGGAGUUGCAAAUGAUUUUGCCUUGUCCAUGUUCUUUAACACCUUGUUCACAUAGUCUUCCUGCGACAUCCAUAAUUUCUUAUUUUUCCUAUCCCUGAUUAUUUUCAUGCCUAAAAUAUUCUUGGCCCCUCCCAAGUCUUUACUAGCAAACUGUGAUGAUAACAUCUUCUUCACUUCUAUGAUUCUCUUUAUAUUGGAACUAGCCACCAGCAUGUCAUCCAUAUAUAAAGAGAGAUACACAAUGUCACCAUCAUUAUACUUACGAAAAUAAACAUAGUGAUCAGACUCAAAGUGUGCAAAUCCUUUUCCUUUCAUGAAACCAUCAAAUUUUAGGUAUCAUUACCACGGAGCUUGUUUCAAGCCAUACAAGUUUUUCUUCAAGCGACAUACCAUGUACUCCUUAUCUUUGACUUUAAAACCCUUAGGUUGUGUCAUGUAUAAUUCUUCAUUUAAGUCACCGUGUAAAAAUGUUAUUUUUACGUCUAACUGCUCAAGAUGAAGAUCCUCCACUGCAACUAUACUCAGCAGAAUUCUAAUUGAGGUCAUUUUCAUUAUGGGCGAAAAUAUCUCGGAGUAGUCAAUCCCUUCUUUUUGAGAAAAGCCAUUGACGACAAGUCUCACCUUGUAUCUAAUACUAUCAUAUGCUUAAUUUUUAAUCCUAUACACCUAUUUGUUUAAUAAAGCUUUUUUACCUAUGGAUAACUUGGUCAACUUCCAAGUUUUGUUCUGAAGUAACGAGCUCAUAUUGUCUUUCAUAGCACACUCCAACUACAAGUGAGACGUGUCUACCUUUGCCUCAUCGUAAGUCUCUAGUUCCCUUGAAUCUGUAUAUAAGACAUGGCUCAGAACAGUAUUAGCUGAUGGAUCAAAAAUUACUUUUGGCUUUCACACACAUGUAAACCUCCUCAAUACAAGUACUUUAGGGUUGUGAGUUUGCUCCGAAUCACUGCGUUCCUCUUGAACUACCUCUUCAUUGAUAAUGGACUCAUCUUGAACCUCUCUUUCAAGUGCACUUUGAUCUAUUGGAAACUUCUUCAUGGGCAUUGUGUCUAAUUCAACAUAUUCUAGUUGUACUAUCUUCUCAUGCUAUGUCUAACGAUCCUUGUACAUCUUUUCUUCAUAGAAUACCACAUUCCAACUGUAGAUGACUUUAUUAUUCUCAUAAUCCUAAAGCCUAUAACCAUACUCGUCGCCACCAUAUCCAAUAAAGACGCACUUUUGGGACUUAGCAUCAAGCUUUUUCCUAUUAUGUUUGUCAAUCAAAGCAUAUACAAUACAACCAAACACCUUUAGAUGUGAAUAAUUAAUCUUUUUACCUGACCACCAUUCUUGUGGUAUUUCUCCAUCCAACGCACUAGAUGGACUUCUAUUGAUAAGAUAAACAACUGAAUCAAUUAUGGUAGCCCAUAAGUGUAGUGGGAGACCUAUGUGUAGCCUCAUGCAUUUCGCACGUUCUAGAAUAGUCAUGUUAAUCAUUUUAGUUACACCGUUCUCUUGAGGAGUGUUAGGAAUAAUCUUUAACCCAUAUAUGCCUUAUCGACUCAAAUAUUCUGCAAAUUUCUUACUCGUGUAUUCACCACCAUUAUCAAACUUCAGAGCUUUAAUCUAAUAACCUGUCUCUUUUUCUACCAUGGUCUUCCACAUUCUGAACAUCUUGAAUACUUCUGAUUUUUCUCUAAGAGCAUAGACCCAAGUCUUCCUUGUCACAUCAUCAAUGAAUGUGAUAAAAUAUCUCUUACCACCAUAAGAGAGUUCCUGAGCAAGUCCCCAUAUAUCAGUAUGAACCAACUCUAACUUUUGGCCUUUAUUUUGUCGUCUAUUCAAUUGAAAACUAACAAUUUUCUGCUUUCCAUAAAUGCAACUCUCACAAAAAUCCAACUAACUUUUUGCAAACUUGGAGGUAAUUUCCUCAGGUGUAACUGUUUUACACAUUUUUCAUCAAGAUGUCCCAUAUGAUAAUGCCAAAGAGUAGACAAAUUACCUAUAGCAAUUGUAGUUGCAACCAUAUCACUAAUAUUGUCUCCUUGGAGAAGGUAAAGUGUACACAUAUGCUUUCCCUUUACUACUACUCUUGCCCCUGAGGUUAUCUUCCAUUCUCCGCUACAAAAGUUGUUACCAAACUUUUUUGGUCAAGUUUACUGAUUGAAAUUAGAUUUUUAAUUAAUUCCGGAACAUGUCUAGUUUCACGCAAAACUAGACGUCCUUCACCUGAGAUGUUCACAGUCAUAGUUCCUUUCCAAACAAUGGGACACAUGUGGUUGUUUCCCACAACCACUUGUUCGAAAUCUCCACCGGCAUAAUCAUCAAAUAUGUCUCUUUGCGAGGUGCAAUGAAAAGAAGCACCGGAAUCAAUAAACCAUUUAUCUAUUGUCAAGUCAAACCCUACAGACAAAUACAAGUUAUCUAGCAAAGAUUCAUCGCUAACCACAUUAGCUCAUUGAUUCUCAUCUUGUUGCUUCUUUUUAUAGGCUUCACAUUAAAACCUCCGGUGUCCGGUUUUGUGACAAAACCAAUACUCAUCUUUUGUAACCUGUCUCUUACCCUUUAAUUGUGAUUUGCCACGCCCGCUGAAUUUUCCUCUACUUUUACUUCUUCCACGGUUCUCCGCCGUGAGUGCCGUUGAAGAUGUAAAUACAAAAAAAUUAUUUCUACUUGAGACUUUCCUCCACAUCUCUUCAUCCAUGAUACUACUCACAGUAUCAUCAAGAGUUAAAUCAUCCUUCAUGGUGCUCGAAAUUCCCUGCACUACAGUAUUGUAGCUUUCUGGAAGAGAAUAUAAAAAAAGAUAAAGCUUGAAGCUUCAUAUCUAAAUUUAUGCUUACGGAAUCCAAUUGACCUGUGACCUACAUAAAACUAUUAAUAUUCUUUGCCACAGAACCUCUAUCAGAUAACUUCAUAUUAAUCAAUUUCUUCAACAAAAAUACCUGAUUUGAUGUGGAUGGUUUCUCAUAAAUAUUCGUUAGAAUAUCAAUGGCUUCUUUUGCAAUUUUUUCUUUUACGAUGUGGUACCCUGUCUUUUUUGUCAACCCUAGUUAAAUCACACAUAAUGCCUUUUGUUCAAGAAUUUUUCAUUCGGCUUCUACUGUUAGAGCUACUUCCGCCAUCUCGGGCUUCCAACCCUCAAGUGGUGCAUAUAGAUUUUUUUUUAUAAAUAAUCAUCAAUUUGUAGUUUCCACCAUCCGAAAUCCUGUCCAUUGAACUUACAGAUUAUGAUUUUAUCUUCUGCCAUCCUGUUUGCUUUCAAUCGAACAUCACCAAAAAACCCUUGAUGUUCUCGAUUAGCCAACACAAGCUCUAAUAUCAAUUGUUAUGAAAUCGCACGUCGAUUCUAGAAAAAUAACGCUCGCAAACAAUUCGCUAGGCAGAAUAUAAUAAUAGAAUAAUAGACUUAAAAGAAGAUGUUAGAAAAUUUGUUAACGACGUUCACCCAAACCUAGAUUACGUCUCCGCGCAGAGGUACUUUGCGAAUCCACUAGACUUUGAAAAAAGUUGGAAUACAACGAUAAUCUUCUCUCAAGAUCAAGGCACAAAAAGAUUGAGAGCCCCCAUAAAGAAAAAACUCACUUUUUUCUUCUCUCUUUUUCUCGCCUCUCUAAUUUUUUUUUCAGUGUCUUAAUGGUCAAUGUAUUGCCAUCACUAAUAGAAAGAUAUCACUUUUAACCUAAAAGCAAAUCCGAUAGAAAAGACAAAAAAAAAACCUAAAUAUAUUUGGCUUCAUCUAUAACAACUCACUCACUUUUUUAUUGUCUUGUAUGCUUGUCAAUUUCCUGCAAUUUUGUGCAUACAUGCUAAUGAUUAUUCAUGGCAUAAGCAUUGCCACUGGAUUUUGUUCUCCAGUAUGCCGAAGUCAACUACCAUCGAAUUGACGGUUGUUUAUGAUUUUUGAAAAUCGUUAAUUUGACCGCGAAAAGUUUGUUUGCCGAGUAGGAAUUGCCUAGGUUAAGAAUAUGGUCAAUAGUAGAGAAUGAAAUCUUGCUAUUAUUCCUCUUUUGGCCAAUUUAAAAACUAAAACGAAAAAUUCGAUUCUGCAUUCAACCAUCUGACAAAAAUUCUUCAAAGGUACAGUAUGUUUGUGGAUGUUGUCGCACCUAUAUUACCCAAAAUUGGAAGUGAUUGCUUUUUCAAAUAAAACUGAAAAUGAUUAUUGCUUGGUGAUCUUGAUCAUUGAUUUAAUUUAACUAGUAUGAAAAAUAUAUAUGUAUUAAUGUAACUAUAGGCAACAUUAAUUGGGUCAUUCAAAUGAAUAUCUAGCAUGAAAAUUUGUGCUUACAAGCACGAUGGAAAAGAGAAAACUUAUUAGUUUUGACAGAGUAUUGUGAUCAAUUUGACUAACAAAAAACUGGUGCAUUUUAUUUCCAAGAUUUACAACGCAAUGUCCUUAAUGACCCUUAUAAUCAUUGAAAAUAUCUACUGUAUGAUUAAUAUGCUAACUUUUUCAGACAUCUCUAUUCUUUCUUAACGAGAUUUUUAGGACCAUAUCUUGUGAUAUUAUGACUAACAUAUACGUAUGAUAUAUUGUUGUUAUCUAACUAUCGGAUCCUCAAGCACUAGCUGUUAAUGUCUCGAGUUUGUGUCGUGUACAACACCCAUUUCUAUUGGAGGAUUUUGAUGCGUUCAAAAUCUGAUGUUGCCUUUUCACGAAUAAUAAUCUUGGAUUAUAGUGGAUAUAUAUAAAUCCAAGGUUCAGAACAAAAUAUUCGGUGGUUACUUUUUUUUAUCCAAGUAUGAGUAUUUGACCAAGAAGUGGACAUCUCUUUCUUGUUCAACGCAAAAGUCGCACAAGAAAGACAGAUAAAAGGGCAGCUCUUGUUUAAGCCGUAUAGCGGACUCCAAGAAGGAUUACCAACGAGCCGAACAGGCGACUCUUUCUUGGACGCGCGAAAGAGUUUGUUCUUCGGCCGGGGAUUGGAGCAAGACACGUGGAAAUUAAUUUAUGUUGUGAAUUUUACAUCCAAUUGAGUUAUUUAUUUAUAAAAAUUUGGGUUUGAACUUAAUCUAAGUAUGGAAAACAUUCAAGCGUAUGAGCAAUUGUACUCUGACUCUUCGAUUAUUAGCAAAUUAUUUGCUAGUGGCUCUCACUAUGGAAUAAGUACCAACUCCAAUGUCAUUUAUUGUUCCUAGCUUAUUUCUCUAGUAAUUUUGUAUUAACUUAGGUUGCACGCAAUAUCCAAUCUAUUUAUCUAUUUUUUAAUUUUUUUUGUUGCUAGGAGUAGGUUUGAAACAAAAAUCUGUUUGGUAACAGUUUUUUCUUUCGGCACAAAUUUUUAGCCCAUAAUUAUAUUUGAAACGAAAAUAAGAAGUAUAAAUUUUCUAUUUUUUUAUUUAUGAAAUAGAAAUGAGAAAUUGAAACUUUACUCAUUGCUCACCCUUGACGCCAACCGCCUGUUGGUCCCUCCCUGCCGACCACUUGGGAGGGAGAUAUUUAAGAAGAUCUAUCAAAUGAAUUUAUGUUCUGGGAAUAGAAAUUCUAUGUCGUAAUCAAACACGUAUUUUAACUCAAAAUUUAAUCCAAAAAACAUAAAUAGGAAAAUCUUUUUCUUGUCAGAAAUAAGACCGACAAAUAGAAUGGCAUUUGCGAGCUUAAUUGCAAGAUCUUGUCAAUUUUCGCAUUAAUUUUACAACACUAGAGAAAAAAAUGUAUAUUAAAAAGAAAAUUUUGAUCAACUAGGUACAUCCAGUUCUUACAAAGUGUGAAAUGGUAUAAUUAUUUAGAUUCAUGUGACCUGAGCAAUUCCGCUUUCAUCUCUGGAGAAAAGUCCAAAAAAGGUUGGCCUCGGCUGUGUGCUUUCAUGGUCAUACGGUGCUUGAAAGCAUCGCCGCCAGUUUUUCCCUUUACCCCUCCACCUUGCGUUGCAGACGGAAGAGAAGACUCUGCAUUCCCUAAUCUUUAGAUGCUCAUAGACAUUAGUUUGUCUUACAUCUUUUGGACCACGAGUUAAAGUUUUGUUCAAUGCACACGGCUCAUGGAAGGAUUACCACAACAUGUAUCUUGUUUUCUCUGUGAUAAACUAGCGGCUGCUCUUAAAUCUUACACGAACUCGCCUCCCAAAUAUGACGACGCCAUCUUGACUUGCAGUUGUUAAGUUGCCUGUGGUGAGCUCGUGCACGUCGUUUUUCUUCCAAACCAGUCAGAAUUCAAAAUGGGGCGUGCACGAGAAAUCAAAUCUUACAUUGUAAUCGAAUCCUCGAGUUAAGAAUUAUUGCGUGCAAGUGGGGUUAGAUCCCAGAAAGUGAACGAAAAAGUUGGUGGCAUUGUUGGACUUUGGAUCUGCCCAAUGUGGUGGGCGUGUUGGGGCCGAGCUUUUGCGAACAGCGUAAACAUCAUGUACCCAAUUGUAUAAGUUUCUUUUAUUUUCUAUGUUUAAUUUUUUUUUCCCAUUGAGUGGCAAGGCUCACUGGCUGACUCUCGCUUGCCACAAGCAAGAGUGUCCCGGCCCCUAGCGGAUCAGGUUGAGGGCUACUAUUUGCAAAUUUUGAGAUUGUAUAAUGUACCCAAUGCAAAGUUUAAGAGCAGAAAUUCUGACAGGUUAAUGUAGAUGACUUUCGGAUUAUGCACCCUAUGGUAUAGUUAAGGCUGCAAAUUAUAAGUCCUGCAACUAGCAAAUACCGUCAAGUGCCGUGAAUAUACAAGAUAUAAAAAGAAUUGCUUUUUUAUUUAGGACGAUGCUAACUUUACACGAUAAUUUUUUCAUAUGCACUUAUUCAUCAUAAACUAGGUAGUUUUUAUGCAAAAGAUUCUUAUCAACUUAGUUAUGAAGAGAACUUCCCAAUGUAGGAGCAAUUUAACAUUCUAUUCUGACAAUUAUGGCUGGCAUAAAAAUAUAAACAUCUUCAAUAUUAUUUUUUAAGUUUAGUUUUUUUUUUUGUCUUCACUUAAAGGGACGCCCCAAGGGCUUUUUGUCAACAAAUCAGUGAAAGAUAAUACAUGAAAAGUCAAAGACUUAUUUUCAACUAAUGAUUAAUAUUAAUUAGAUAUAAGAGUCUAAAUUAGCCAAAUCUAAUGUGUUAAUAAAGAGAACAUUAUCAAAAAUUGCCAUUUAAUAUAUAAUCUCCACGGUGGCAAAUAAUCGAGAUCACCUGUCUCCUUGGCUCUCAAUGGGUUAAUUGAAGGAAAGCUUUUCGUUUGGGCCUCAUCAAGAGAGUUGUCAAUUUUAGUUAAAUUAUUGGCGACUCUUUGCUUGAUUGGAAGAGGGAGUUGGCGCAUUAAACGCCGCCUCGUCUCCACCAACUAUCCGAAUUAAUCUCUCUUUCUCACAAUGGCCCUAAUUGUACACUCAGAUGUUUGCCAACGAAAGGACGUGGUGACAAAUAUUAAUGGUAGUGACUGGUCAAGUAAAUAUACAGUAAAAUGCAUAAAACCAUGCGUUUCUAGAAGAGGGUCUUGUCAAAUUAAAGGCUAUCUCCCUCGCAACUACCCUAAUUAUAGCAAUCUUUCGUAUAUUUUGAUGGUUGUCCUGAGCAUUAGAAGAAAUGACGUGGAGACUUGUUAAAUUAAAGGUCAUCUCAACUCCCACAGCUACCCUCAAUUGCUCUUUCUCUCCCUCUCCUUCUCCCACAACUACCCUAAUUAAAGCAAUCUCUCGUCUAUUUAGAUGGUUGUCCCCGGGAAGCAGAAGAAAGGACAUGGAGACUGGUCGAAUUAAAGGCCAUUUUAGCUCUCACAACUACCCUUGAUUCCUCUUUCUCUCCCUCACAACGACCCUAAUUAAAGCAAUCUUUCGUAUAUUUUGACGGUUGUCCCUGAGCAGUGGAAGAAAGGACGUGGCGAGUUAGACAUUGAUGAUAUUGAUGGUGACGCCAGGAACAGUAAAAUGCCCCAACGAGGCCAGGCACUUGUUUGAAAAAAGGGAAAAUGUCACAAAUAAUCCCUAUAUUUUCACUUAAUGUCCAAUUUCGUCCCUGAACUUUUGAUUGGCUCAAUUUGGUCCCUGAACUAUUGAUAAAAUGUCCGAUCUAGUCCUUGAACUUUCGAAUGGCUCAAUUUGGUCCCUAAACUAUUAAUAAAAUAUCCGAUCUAGUCCCUGAACUUCGAUCGGCUCAAGUUGGUCCCUGAACAAUGAUGAAAUGUCCGAUCUAGUCCUUCAUUACUAUUUUUCUUUUUCUUUUUCCCUUUUUUCCUUUUUUUUUUCCUUUUUUUUCCCUUUUUUUCCCUUUUUUUUCCUUUUUUUCCCUUUUUUUUCGCUUUCCCUCUGCCGGAGCCGGCGGAGGGCCGGCGUCCGGCGAGGGAGCCCCUCGCCGGCGUCCCUCGCAAGCGGGCGAGGGGCUCUCCCUCGCCGGCGUCGGCGAGGGGCUCUCCCUCGCCGGCGUCGGCGAGGGGCUCUCCCUCGCAGAUCUGGCGAGGGGCCCUCCUCGCCGGCGUCUGCGCGGGGCUCUCCCUCACCAAAUCUGCGAGGGAGAGCCCCUCGCCCGCUUGCGAGGCCUAUUCCGAACUGAAUAGGCCCAGAACAAUCACGCUGGGCCGAAUGUGUUCAUUGGUCUAGGCCAGCCAGCUAGGCCGGAAAUUCUAGGGCCCAAAAUGUUUGGGCCGAGCCCAUUUUCCUAUAAAAGCCCGGCUUGCCCAACCCAUUUGUAUCCCCGUAACGUCGUGUUUGAAAGAUUAGCCUCUUGUCCACCAUUAGACGUGUUCAAUGGGAACCGUAGCUAGGCCCCCUUGGAGAUCUCACCUGGAACCACCNNNNNNNNNNNNNNNNNNNNNNNNNNNNNNNNNNNNNNNNNNNNNNNNNNNNNNNNNNNNNNNNNNNNNNNNNNNNNNNNNNNNNNNNNNNNNNNNNNNNNNNNNNNNNNNNNNNNNNNNNNNNNNNNNNNNNNNNNNNNNNNNNNNNNNNNNNNNNNNNNNNNNNNNNNNNNNNNNNNNNNNNNNNNNNNNNNNNNNNNNNNNNNNNNNNNNNNNNNNNNNNNNNNNNNNNNNNNNNNNNNNNNNNNNNNNNNNNNNNNNNNNNNNNNNNNNNNNNNNNNNNNNNNNNNNNNNNNNNNNNNNNNNNNNNNNNNNNNNNNNNNNNNNNNNNNNNNNNNNNNNNNNNNNNNNNNNNNNNNNNNNNNNNNNNNNNNNNNNNNNNNNNNNNNNNNNNNNNNNNNNNNNNNNNNNNNNNNNNNNNNNNNNNNNNNNNNNNNNNNNNNNNNNNNNNNNNNNNNNNNNNNNNNNNNNNNNNNNNNNNNNNNNNNNNNNNNNNNNNNNNNNNNNNNNNNNNNNNNNNNNNNNNNNNNNNNNNNNNNNNNNNNNNNNNNNNNNNNNNNNNNNNNNNNNNNNNNNNNNNNNNNNNNNNNNNNNNNNNNNNNNNNNNNNNNNNNNNNNNNNNNNNNNNNNNNNNNNNNNNNNNNNNNNNNNNNNNNNNNNNNNNNNNNNNNNNNNNNNNNNNNNNNNNNNNNNNNNNNNNNNNNNNNNNNNNNNNNNNNNNNNNNNNNNNNNNNNNNNNNNNNNNNNNNNNNNNNNNNNNNNNNNNNNNNNNNNNNNNNNNNNNNNNNNNNNNNNNNNNNNNNNNNNNNNNNNNNNNNNNNNNNNNNNNNNNNNNNNNNNNNNNNNNNNNNNNNNNNNNNNNNNNNNNNNNNNNNNNNNNNNNNNNNNNNNNNNNNNNNNNNNNNNNNNNNNNNNNNNNNNNNNNNNNNNNNNNNNNNNNNNNNNNNNNNNNNNNNNNNNNNNNNNNNNNNNNNNNNNNNNNNNNNNNNNNNNNNNNNNNNNNNNNNNNNNNNNNNNNNNNNNNNNNNNNNNNNNNNNNNNNNNNNNNNNNNNNNNNNNNNNNNNNNNNNNNNNNNNNNNNNNNNNNNNNNNNNNNNNNNNNNNNNNNNNNNNNNNNNNNNNNNNNNNNNNNNNNNNNNNNNNNNNNNNNNNNNNNNNNNNNNNNNNNNNNNNNNNNNNNNNNNNNNNNNNNNNNNNNNNNNNNNNNNNNNNNNNNNNNNNNNNNNNNNNNNNNNNNNNNNNNNNNNNNNNNNNNNNNNNNNNNNNNNNNNNNNNNNNNNNNNNNNNNNNNNNNNNNNNNNNNNNNNNNNNNNNNNNNNNNNNNNNNNNNNNNNNNNNNNNNNNNNNNNNNNNNNNNNNNNNNNNNNNNNNNNNNNNNNNNNNNNNNNNNNNNNNNNNNNNNNNNNNNNNNNNNNNNNNNNNNNNNNNNNNNNNNNNNNNNNNNNNNNNNNNNNNNNNNNNNNNNNNNNNNNNNNNNNNNNNNNNNNNNNNNNNNNNNNNNNNNNNNNNNNNNNNNNNNNNNNNNNNNNNNNNNNNNNNNNNNNNNNNNNNNNNNNNNNNNNNNNNNNNNNNNNNNNNNNNNNNNNNNNNNNNNNNNNNNNNNNNNNNNNNNNNNNNNNNNNNNNNNNNNNNNNNNNNNNNNNNNNNNNNNNNNNNNNNNNNNNNNNNNNNNNNNNNNNNNNNNNNNNNAGGGGCUCCCUCGCAAGAUCGGCAAGGGACUCGCCCGCUUGCGAGGGACGCCGGCGAGGGGUCCUCGCCGAUCUGGCGAGGGGCUCCCUCGCCGAACGCCGGCCCUACGCCGGCUCCGGCAGAGGGAAAGCGAAAAAAAAAAAAGGAAAAAAAGGGAAAAAAGGGAAAAAAAGGAGAAAAAAAAGAAAAAUAGUAACAAAGGACUAGAUCGGACAUUUCAUCAUGGUUCAGGGACCAACUUGAGCCGAUCGAAAGUUCAGGGACUAGAUCGGACAUUUUAUUAAUAGUUUAGGGACUAAAUUGAGCCAUUCGAAAGUUUAGGGACUAGAUCGGACAUUUUAUCAAUAGUUCAGGGACCAAAUUGAGCCAAUCGAAAGUUCAGGGACGAAAUUGGACAUUGAGUGAAAAUAUAGGGACUAUUUGUGACAUUUUCCCUUGAAAAAACUAUAAUCGCUUUAGACUCUUCUUUUAGACUAAUAUGACCAUUUUAAGCUUUUUUUUUAAAUUUAAAUAAGGCCUACCUUAGGCCCUUAUUUGAGAAAAUGAGGGCACUAUUUGCCUUUAUUUGGAAUUUUUCCAAAUAUUUAUAUACAAUGAGCAUAAUUUGAGAUUUUUUGUGAUAUCAACAAAAUUUUGAGUCAUUUUUUCUAUAUGUAAUAGGUUCUCACGAAUUUUGAGAAACAAGAUGAUGUAUUUCUACGAGGCGUAUGAGACGCAAAAUAAUAAAAUCUCACCACAAAGAUAAAUCGUUUUAAAUGACCAAAAGAAGUCCGUCGAAAAAUAGGUGAAUUAUUUAUGAAUUAAUAAGUUAUUGGCGAUCAAACAACCCAAAAAAAAAAAAUAAUAAUAAUAAAAAUUGGCCACUACCAAAGGAAAACGUUCUAAAGGGAUUGGAUGAAUUAUUUUCUUAACCAUUGCGCUUUUGGAAGCCCCACUUUGCAGCAUUAUCUCAGGCAAGACCCCUUACAAGAUUGCCCUACAGUUACUUGAAGACGAAAUAAUCCAAGAACAUGUGAAUCUAGUGGUUUCUCCCCAAUUCAAGUCCUCGGACGUAUGAAAUCAUGUUACUAAAUCCUAAAACUUAUUGAAACUAUUUACAUGCAUCCUAAGAGGGGAUCAAGUUCAAGUUCCCUGCCGGAGUUGGCGGUGAUUGCCAAUGCCCAGCCACUCCCUUUUGUUUUUCGUUUUUUUUCCCUAAUUCUUAAUCUUAAAACUACUUUUUUCUGAUUUCUUUUUAGAACUUCUCUUUUUUGAUUUUUUUUUGUCUUAUUUUUGUCUUAGGGUGCUAAUUAACCCUUAUUUGGUUUGGUCGAUUAUUUUUCAUCAAUAUUACACUCGUAAAAAGGAGAUAAUACUAGAAAUAACAUGUUUAAAUACCCACGAGUGUUUUUAUUACACAUAAAAUUGUCUACUACAAAUGAGAAAUUACUUAUGUUCAGUAUAUGUUUUAGUAACUUUACUAGGAACAAAUGGUAAUGUGAUCCACAGUUCAAAAAAUGGAAGGUAAAGCUUGAUUGUAAUAUAUUAAUCUCCUAUUGAAGGUACCAAAUUAUCAAGUACACAUUUAGAGAUCUGAGAGUUCUCAUUAUCCUUGACGAUGUUAGUGAUUUUAAACAAAUCAGUUCACCGGCUGGAGAUCUAAGUUGGUUUGGUUCGGGAGCAGGAUCAUUGUGAUCUCUGUGACAAGCAAUCUUGUUGACAAGUAUAAUGAGGUGCCUGUGACCCCUACAAGCAGCAGUACUGUUAACAUUCUCGUUCAAAAGUACAAACUAAAACAAAUGAAUUAUGACCAUGCUUUUCAGCUAUUCUGUAAUGCUCUUAGAGAAAAACUUCUUAAAAAGGAAUUUUCCUCUUUGGCAUGUGAAAUUAUAUUGGUUGCUGGAGGAAUUCCUCUGGUUAUUAACGUUGUUAGUUCAUUUUUACGUGGAAAGCCCAUAGAGUUUUGGAAGGAGGCAUUGGAUGGAUUGAACCGAGAGCCUUACUCUAAGGAAAUAAAACAUAUUCUGAAGAGAAGAUAUGAUGAUUUAGAUAAAAAUGCUUGAGAGAUAUUUCUCGAUAUAGUUUUUUUUUUUUUGUGGGAAAGGACUAGACAAUGACCUCUUACAUACAGGAAGAUGGGAAAUAUGAUCCUUAUAGAGGAAUCAAUGUGCUUCAUAACAUGUCUAUGGUAAAAAUCAGAGAAAACAAUGAAUUGUGGAUGCAUAAUCAACUAAAAUUCCUUGGGAGGGAGAUUGUCGAGGAAGAAAAUCCAAGUGAACCUUUCAAGCGGAGCAGGCUAUGGAAUUGGGAGGACAUUGAACCAAUAUUGAAUGAAAGGACGGUAAAUCUAGAAGACAAAGAUGUCUCUUUUAUAGUUUGCAUUACAAUACUUCUUUUGAAUACUUAAAAUGCAUCUCUUUCACUUUCUCCUUUUACGAUUGUUCCAGGAUUGGCAGGAUGCUGCAGUUGAAGCCCCUUAGUGACACAUUCGACAACCCCAUUUAUAUCCUAAACAUAGAUUCUUUAAUAAUUUCUCGAAGCUUAGGUAUAUGAAAAUGAACCAUGCUAUCGUAAAGCAUAUAAGCAGAGUGCAAAGAGCUCCAGAGAGGAUUUUUUCCUCUGAAGGUUAAAGUAGCUUGAAUGGCAAGGAUGCAACGAUAUCUCCACCCUGCUAGCUUUAGAUCUGUCAAAAUUGAUCGUUCUUGAUUUGUCUAGGAGUACCUCCAGCAAUUGGAAGCGCUGGAAACAAAUUAUGAUGGCAUACCUGCACUUUUUUUUUUUUGGCAUCAAAUUCGACAUCAGCUUGUAGAAACAUGGCUUUUAUAUUAUUCUCUUGUUUUGCAGAGGUUCAACAACUUGAAAGCUUUGAUCCUAAAAGGUUUUCCAUGCUCCUGUAAACUUAGAGAGACUAACCCUGGGAAAUUGUUCUGCAUUACCUCCGGUUGUUGUCAUGUUGUUGACACCUAAAUUUUGGUGACCCAUUUAGUCAUUUAUCGCCUUAAAAAAUUAGGGAUUAAUUUUAUCCCUGAAAAAAUAUUAAUUGCAUAGCAUAUAGGUUUAAGUGCAUUUGUUUUUAAUUUGCAUUUGUUUUACAUUUAUUUACUGGACCGGUGGCGGUUGGGUCGAAUUAGUAGUUUUGGGUUUUAAAUUAGCAGGCUGGGCUAGGCCCACGAAAGGAGAAAAUUAACCCAAGCCCGUCGUUAUGUUAAAUUAAUUAUCUUGUGAAAAAUUAAGAUUUGAUGUGAUAUUAUGAUGAUUUUUGGAAAUUAAAAAAUCGCAUUGUAAUCUUAUCUUUAUCAAUAGAUGAUGAAAUCGGGGGAGAAUAUUUUUGAGAUAAGGAUUUUUGUGAUCAAGAGGUUAUAAGCAAUAUUCAUGAGAUGAAAAUAUUAACAAAAAAGAUCAUGUUUUGUUUCGCCUAUAAAAGGAUGCGUACAGAGAUCAAUGGGGAGGAGGGGUUUUUUCUAGGGUUUUUCUCUUGGUCGAAAUAAAAAAAGAGAGAUAAAAAGGCUUUCUUCCUCGUCCAUCUUCAGUCAAAGGAGAGCUUUUUCUCUAUUCUUUUCUUGAAAAACCGCAAAAAAGAAGAAGGAAAAGUCUGCAAGGAGAGUGACGUGAGAGUGUUUUUUGGGAUUUGUUGAUAGUACUUUAAUUUUUGAAUCAAUAUAAUUAUUAAUUUGAUCCAUAAGAAUUUGGAUCAGAUUUUUAGUUAUUUUGAACUAUUUGUCGUGAUAAUUAGGGUUAGGAUAAUUGUUAAUUUGACCUGUAAGACAACAGGUUAUUUUUUCGUUUAUUUUGAUCCUUUAUUUGAUUGAAUGUCUUGAUUAGUUUAAAUACAAUAUUUAUUUGAUAAUUGCUUGUUUUGGAGAAUCACUAAAAAAUCCAAAAAAUAUUUGAAUUAGGAUUCAGUUUGUUUUGGAAUAUUUCUUGUUAUAUUUUAUAUCUAGUAUAGGGAUUUAAUUUCGAAUUUUAUAAAAAUAAAAACACAAAAGAAUCAUCAUGCAUAUAUCAUGUAGAAUUAGGGCAUUCUUUGUAUGUCAUGGCAUCUUAGGAUAAAAUUGCAAAUUUCAUUUUAAAUUCACUUCAUUAUUUAGAAUAGAUUGCAUUUUUAGGAUAAAAAAUCAUAUGCACAUCAUAUAGAAUUAAGUUCAUGAAAUGCACGUCAUUUAGUAAUUGUUGUUACGUUCAUUAUAAUAGGAAUUGCUCAUCAUUAGACUAGGUCAUUUAAUAAAUGUCGCGUGACAUAUAGCUCGCAUAUUAGAUUGCAUGUUACAUGACAUUUUAGUUGAAAUAAUUUUGUAUGUCAUUGCAUUGCAUUAUAUGUCAUUAGAAUUAGGUCAUUUAGAUUGCAUUUAAUUAUUGCAUUUCUUCAUGUCAUAUAGUUUAGGUCAUGUAGUUAAAAUGCAUGUUUUUAUGAAAAAAUUCUAAUUUUAAGAAAACCAAAAAAAAAAAAAAAUGAUUGAUUGCUUUGUGUGAUGCAAUUUAUUUAUCUUUUUAUUCAAUGUUUAAUGAUGAUUGAGCAUCUGUGUGAUCAUCAUUUUGCAUGAUAGAAAUUUAGGUUAAAAUAAAUCAGCUGCCUGCAAAAAAAAACAUUUUUGAAAACAAAAAGAAUGGUACCGAAAGGACAUUAGAGAAAUCUAAUGUAACCAAGUCCCCGUACCCAUAGUCUUUGGUUCGUAGGAGUAAAAUAAUCCUCCAAUUAUUUUACUUAGGUGUCUAAUCGACCUACCAUAAACCGAUUAGUGGCGACUUCUAGUUAUUAAUCAUUCGUAUGUUAGAUAAUUGAACCUUAAGUCACGAUUUGGUAUGGGUUUGGGAGAGCCCGAGCUAAGCUUAAAAACUUAGUAGUCCAUUAGCCUAACCAUAGGUGGUUCACACUCGAAAAAUUGGUCGCGACACAUGUCCAUUAGCAAGCUAAGGAACUUAGUUUAUUUGGAUAUCAAGUUUUGCACCUUCGUGCAAGAGUUACCAAAAGAUAUAGGUUGCUUGGAAGCUUUGAGAGAGCUAUAUAUCGAUGGAACUUCCAUUCGAGCCCUUGAGUUCCCGGACGGUAUGUUGUGAAAAAAUGCCAAAAGAUGCACCAAUCGAAGCACAAGUAGCAAAGGAUAAAAGGAAAAUCGAAAUUACACGAGCCGCAAGAUUUACAUGGAAAACUCAAAACGAGAAAACCACAGGGAGAGAGGGACACGUGCCACAUAAGUUUGUGAGUCACAUCUUCAUUUAAUGACUAGCCUCGAAAGGACAUGUGCUACUCAUUCUCCAAGCCACUCUUAAUUGGUCCACCAAAACUUGUGAGUCACAAUUUUAUCAUUACUUGGCUUGACUUAAUCUCCAAGGAAAAUCUUAUGGUAACAAUGAUCAAAUCCUUAAAUGGCCACCUAAGCUAGUGAUUCAUCCCUUCAUUUAAUGCUUAAGAUAUGGCCAUCAUAAGUCUUGGAUUUUUUUUUUUUGGCACAUUUGUCAUGGCUAUUCUUGCUCAUGGGGCAGUUCACUUAAGCCACAAAUUACUAACUUAUUCAUUAAGACAAAUAUUUUAGUAUUAUUACAUGAUCUUAAGAUGGACACCUAAGAUGCUGAUAAGGUUUCUUGCAUUUAAUGCUUGGAUUUGUGUAAUCAUUAGAUUUGGAUAUUUCUUGUAUGGCCUACUUUCAAGAUUUUGCUCCCUAAGCUAAAUUCUCUUAAACCUUCCCUUGAUUGGUUCAUUUGUGCUAUGACUCAUCAACUUAAUCCUCAAGGCAAAUAUUUGGUAAUCAUUACCAAAUCUUCUCACGGUCAGCUAAGGUGAUGAAUUACCCCAUUUCAUUAAAUGACUAAGAGGUUCUAGAAUAUUAUAUUUUGUUUAUUUCCAAAGAAUAUGGCGAACAUGGGAAAUUGGCCAUUAAAAGCGCAAUUGGGACCGAGAAAGGGCUUUUUAUGGACAUUCUCAAAUGACCAUUCUGACGCACCCGAGGUUCGUGGCAAAGCCAUCCUUGAGAUGCGUGUCAUAAGUUAAAAUCACUCUCUCAGAUAAGUGAAUGAUCUGGGGCUAGGGCUUAAUGGUUGGGCCUUGGACUAGUCAGGCGGUCCUUUGGCCGAUCUGCAAGUAGUUCCUUCAACCUAUCAUGUGGCCAAUCCUUGACCUACUAGUCGGAAGCAAAAGAGGGAUCGAAAUCGAGGAUGUUACAUUUCACUUAGAACCUCGAUGCUUCUUUCGCCAAUAUGUCCCAAAAAAGUAUGCCCACAAUUCAGACUCUCAAACUUAUGCACCUGACGUUGUCGAGUGAAAUCCAUCACUCUCCCCCUUGAAGCUCAUAUAGAGUAUUGUGUUUGAUUCCUCUCAUCAUCACCAAGGCACCUCAAACGACCUUUAGAACACCAUAUUUUGAAACGUACCAAUACCCAACUGAAUUCGAGAUUCCAGGACAUAUCUCACUCCGGUCAAUAUCUCACGAUGACGUUAUGCAAUGUAAUUCCGACAAUUGCUCCACCACGAAAUUGCUCCUAUCAGGUUCCCAUCCCCACAGGGAGAGAAUCUUUGAGUUUCCCCGAAAAGCACGUCGCAUGUCCAUAUUUCACUUUUCCAUCCUCUCAAUUCAUUCUGUUCUUAGGCAUCAAGUAUUGAGACGGUGAAAGAGAAUUUGGAAACAAUCUCAGACUUGACCAUGAAAAGUGAAAAUGGAGAUUAAAGACCAGGUGUAGUUUUUUAGAACAAGAAUUUAAUAAAUCAAAGGUUCGUCUUCGGAUGUCACAAAUAUCUCUGUUUCUUCGGAGACUAUAACUUUCCUACGCGAUACGCACAAACCUGAGAAAUAAAUUAAAAGUGAUUUAAACGGUAAACUUUGGCAAAUGUCUGUCAUCUGUCAAAAGAAUUGUAAUCUUUUUUCUCAAUAAAUUAAGUGUAGCACGGCUAGUGUGAUGGCACCGCCGUUCACUUAAAAGACAACCGUGUUCCAACCUAUGGGAACCGGCAUCUUGUAAAAUGACGACUUUUCUUUCGCGGGUUUCAGUAGGCCAACGUUCAGAAUGCAACUUGAGCACGUUUGAAGUUAGGUUAUGGGGUCAACUUACAAAAAAAACACACCACAUACUCAUCCGUACAAAAAUCAUCAAUUGUGAAGUUCAACAAAUCAGUAUUAUGAUGUUAACGUGCAAGCAUAGAUAUCUGUUAUUUCACGGAUAUAAUCUCCUCCUCUGCCCAUCAUCUUAAUAUCCCCGGAUAGAUCCAUUGGUGACACAUUCGAAGCCAAUCAUUUGUCUGCUGUUCUCGUUGCUGCAGAUAUGGAAUGAUGCCUUCGUUGCACACUUGUUGUCUGUCUGAGGCACGCGAUAAUGUUUACAAGGGUGGCUCUGAGCUUGAAAACGUUGUUUGGAUGCUGUUUUACCAGCAGAAACUCAGUUAUAAUUUCAUCGACUGUUGCUUUUGCACAUCAUUUAAUAAUCAUUCUAUGUGGUCAUGGUCCAACAUUGUGGCUAAUUCCUGUUUCAGAGAGCAACGCACAGACAGAAGAGAUUAAUCAGCCAAACUGCCUCUACUCUGCUUCUCCUCUUUGAUUUCCUCCUAAAUCAGAAGUCAGUUUAGUACUGUAUCAGCUGAACAACAUCUAUGGAAUCCUGCCUUCCAAUUCUUCUACAUAGCUUGUGCUUCAUGUCCCUUGUGUUGCAGAUGAGCUAUGCGCUGGACUCCAUUUCAGCUGGCGAGAACAUCACAGAUGGCCAAACGAUAGUCUCUGCCGGCAGGAACUUUGAGCUAGGAUUCUUCAGCCCUGGCAGCUCCAAGAACCGGUAUGUGGGCAUAUGGUACAAGAAGCUAUCGGCCGGGACGGUGGUUUGGGUCGCAAACCGAGAAAAUCCCCUGAAUGACUCUUCAGGAGUCCUAAAGCUCACUCCUCAGGGUGUACUGACUCUCCUGAACCGUACCAAUGGGGUUGUUUGGUCCUCAAAUGUGUCGAGAUCAGGCCAGGAUCCAAUUGCACAGCUUUUGGAUUCUGCCAAUUUCGUCGUAAAAGAAGGAAAUGGCAAUGACUUGGGUGAUGCAAUCUGGCAGAGUUUUGAUCACCCUUGUGUUCGUUUUUGGCUGGCAUGAAGCUUGGUAUAGACCGAGCAAAAGGCCUGGACCGGUACUUGACCUCAUGGAAAAGCAGGGAUGACCCUUCACCGGGUGAUUUCACAUAUAGGCUCAAUCCUUCAGGAUAUCCGCAGAUGAUCCUGAUGAACAAAUCAGUAGUGCUGUCCAGUUCGGGACCUUGGAACGGCAUUCGGUUUAGCGGGAUCCCUCAGUUGAGGACAAAUCCAGUCUUUAGGUUUGGCUUCGUCUUCAACCAAAAUGAAAUUUACUAUUACUUCAAUGUUCUGAAAAGUUCCGUCCCGUCGAUGGUGGUUUUAAAUGAGAAUGGUAUCGUUCGGCGCUUCACUUGGGUAGACCGGACAAAGAGUUGGUUUCUGUAUUUGUCUCCUCAAACAGAUGACUGUGACACUUAUGCAUCAUGUGGAGGGAAUGGGAAUUGCACCAUUGCUAGCUCUCCAAAAUGCAUGUGCUUGACAGGGUUCGUGCCCAAAGACCCUAGCGAUUGGGAAUCUGGGGAUUGGUCAAACGGGUGUGUCCGGAGGACCGAACUGGAUUGUCCGGGAGGAGAUAAGUUUCUGAAGUACACCCAAGUGAAGUUGCCUGACGCGAGGCAAUCGUGGUUCAACGAGAGCAUGAACCUUCAAGAAUGCGAGCAAACAUGCUUGAGGAACUGCUCGUGCACGGCUUAUUCAAACCUGGAUAUCAGAGGGCAAGGAAGUGGAUGUUUACUUUGGUUCGGUGAUCUGAUGGAUAUCAGACAGGUGAACGAGAACAUCCAGGGUAUUUACGUAAGGAUGGCUGCAUCAGAAGUUGGUACGUGUUCGAACCCUGAGUUACUUUCGAUAUGAUGACCCGAGGAAGAGAAUGAGUUCGAAAUAACUGUCGGACUCUUACUGACUCUAUUUUCAAUUUAUUGUAAUGUGUAUUAAGGCAGCAAUUUCAGUGGAAAUCCUGGCGCAAGGAAAAGCACGGGCAUCAUUGUCGGCGCCGUGCUGUCUGCGGUGCUUCUUCUUGGCAUCGCGGCUGUUUUCACAAAGUAUAGGAGAGAUGGUAAAAUCGUUUUUAUCAGAAAAUUACGCUUUCCAAGCAAGAUGCUUUUCUUGAUCCACAAGAGUCGUUUUUAACUCUUGUUAGCAUAGGUUUUAAAUGAUGCUGCUCUGCAUCAAAUGCAAAGUUUCAUCAUAUCAUCUCCCUUUGAAAAUUUCAAUCAAUUGGCCUGAAAAAUAUGAAUGGACCAAAUGUGUGUUUGAUGUGAAACGUUGCGGAAAUAUCGUUCUACAAAGGCCUGGAUAGUGCGAAUUGCAAACCUCGACCUCCAAUCAAAACUUUGCACAGGGGAGGGAAUGAUGUGGACAUUGAGCCAUAUCGAGGAGGAAGUGCUAGGGACUGAUUGUCUAUUCCUACUGGUUCGAUUAGUCGAGCGCAUGCCAAGCAAUUCAGGUAAGCUGUUGGCGUGAUGGUUCGUGAACUUUGGCGUGGAGAUAACCUUGGAUCAAAUCUUGAAAAAUCUUGGAAAUCUUGGCAUAAUCUUUGGCGUGGAGAUGAUCUUGGAUCGAAUCUCGAAGAAUCUUGGAAAUCUUGGUGCAAUUUGAUUAUCUGGUCAUCAAAUAUUUGACCAAGUCAAAAAAAUUAUCUUCUUAUUUAGAUAUAUUCUAGAAUAUGACGUAUUAGAUUUCUAGGGAUAGUUUUAGGGUUUGCGUGGCAACUAAAAGGCCGACUAGCCAACUUCCUUUGGAGACAGAUAUAUUUUUAUUUUUGAGGAAAAGAAUUGAAAGGUUCUCUUCUACUGCUCUUUUGAGGACUUGACAUUAUCAAGAUUUUCUUGUGAUAGUUGAUUCGACUUAUCGAGUGAGAUAGCGAAUUCUUUCGCUCGUGGCGUCUAUAACGUUGGUUGGUUGACACGCGUUUGUCAACAGGUCAUGUUCAUAACAAGAUUGCCAAUCACAGGUUUGAUUGGAGGUCGAGGUUUGCAAUUCGCACCAUUUGGGCUUUCGUAGAAUGUUCUUUCCGCAACGAUUCACAUUAGUGUUGCUUUGAAUUUUGUUUUGGGAUUUUUAAAGCUCAAUUAUGAUUUCUCUUUAGUUGAUGAAUUUACUCACUUUAAUUUCUACUUGUAGGACAAAUCUUUGGAUUCUCCCAUCAAAGCCGUAGUGAAGAUCUAGACUUACCUAUGUUCGACCUCACAACCCUGGUGAACGCGACAGGUAACUUCUCUGAAGACAACAAACUCGGAGAGGGAGGCUUUGGAGCUGUCUAUAAGGUAACUAUUCUCAUUUUUUGGAAUUCUAAAUCUGCACGUACAUAUCCAAAUGCACAAUUGAAAAGGGAGCAAAGGAACUUCUGUCUUUUAGGGUGUUCUGAGGAAUGGCCAAGAAAUUGCCGUGAAAAGGCUGUCGGAAAACUCUAGGCAGGGACAGGUCGAGUUCAAGAACGAAGUCGCUUACAUCGCGAAACUUCAGCACCGAAACCUCAUCAAGAUUCUGGGAUGCUGCAUUCAAGUAGAUGAAAUGAUGUUGAUCUAUGAGUUCUUGCCCAACCGAAGCUUGGAUUGUUUCAUUUUCGGUUUGCUUCGCUCCAGUUCCUACAUUUUAAUUGCUUUUGUCAUCGAAAAAGAGUGAAGAAGCUUCCAUUUCAUAACUCAUGAGGCCUAUAAUUUGGCAGACCAAGAGAAGGGUGUUUCCCUGGAUUGGCCUAGGCGCUUCACUAUCAUCAAUGGCGUAGCUUUGGGGCUUCUAUACCUUCACCGAGACUCAAGAUUAAGGAUUAUUCAUAGAGAUCUGAAAGCUGAAAAUAUCCUGCUCGACAACGAAAUGAAUCCAAAGAUAUCGGACUUUGGUUUGGCGAGGAGUUUCGGAGGUAAUGAGAGCGAAGCAAAUACAAAGAGAGUGGUGGGAACAUUGUGAGUUCUCUUGACAAAUGAUCUCCACUGAUUUUGGUCCAAUUGCUUCAAGAACUAAUCAUUCCUUUCAACAACUUUUUUGCAUAGCGGUUACAUGUCCCCAGAGUAUGCCAUCAACGGCUUUUAUUCGGUAAAAUCAGAUGUCUUCAGUUUUGGCGUUUUAGUACUGGAAAUCGUGAGCGGGAAAAGAAAUCGAGGUUUCAAUCAUCCUGACAAGCAUUUAAACCUUCUCGGAUAUGUAAGCGUAAAGAGAUCAGAUCUCUUUGCUUAUUUAUCUUCAGUUAGUUUCUAGUCUUAUUCUAGAUGACUAACACAAUAAUGCAGGCCUGGACACUCUCAAGAGAUCAAAAGUUCAUGGAGCUCGUCGAUCCAUUGAUUGUAUCCACAUUUAACCCUGUGGAAGUUUUACGAUCCAUCCAUGUGGCUUUGUUGUGUGUUCAAAAUAACCCGCACGAUAGACCAGAGAUGUCAUCUGUGGUUAUGAUGUUGAACAGUGAGAGCACAUUGCCUCAGCCUAAACAGCCUGGUUUUUUUUACGAGACAUCUGCAUCCGAAGCAAGUUCUUCAAGCGACAGCAGGCAUAAGAAAUAUUCAGCCAACGAAAUAACUAUUUCACAUUUACUGCCUCGAUGAUAUUUCUGUAAUUUCAAUUAUGUUUAUAUUGAUCCCAUAUGAAUACGAGAGGAUCGUGGCAUUUGUAUGAGAGUCAUCUCUUAAUCUGGAAUUGAAAGACCUUACGGGGACAUGUGAAAGAUUGCGCCUUUUGUUCUUCCAAAAUUUGCUGGAUUCCGGUCAGGAAACAAAGAAUGUGUACACGGACCACAAAGUGAAAAUUUCAGUCUUUUCUUGUUAUGAUAUUCUAGCAAAGAAACCCUUGAAUACCUUAUUAAGAAUACCCGUAACUUAGGGAAGUAAACUCGCAUUUUCGAAAGAAUCCUUAAUGUUUCAAUGUCUGAUUCAGUUUGAAUCGACAAAAUUAUAAAUUAGGGAAAAAGUGGCCAUAACUACAAGCGAGAUCGUAAUCAGUACUAAAACCGUUGCUCUGUCAAGAUCUGCACAGUGAUGUUUCUUCUAUUCUAUCACGCCAAAAUAACCAUGUCCUUCAAAUCACAUCGUGCAUUACAGUGACAUCAACAAGCUCAAAUGCACCUAAAACAGGGGAAAAGGAAAAGGAAUUGACUUCCCAAAAAUAUUGGCUAUAAAUGAAAGAUUCUUGUAUCAUCUUAAGAGCCAUUUUUGGGACUCUAGACGAACAGAAUAAGAACUGAAAUCUUACACAGCAUAGAGGUGUUGGAAAAUGCAUAAAGAAGUAGGAAUUGUGUGGGAAUGAGAUUGACUGACCUCCUUGCUACUGUAGUCAAUGGGCACAAGCCAUUGCAAUCACUAGAUUGGCCCAAACAGUUCACUAUCAUCAAGGCAAUGAGAACGGAGCUAUUCUAGUUGAUAUUGCGAUGAACAUGAAGAUAUUGGACUUUGAUUCACCAAGAUGUUUCUGAUGUAAUGAGAGGGAAGGAACCAAACACAGAGACUAAGGGAGCUGUCCGAACAUGGUGAGUCCUCUACUGAAACAUCUGAAUUAUGCUUAAAUUUGCUUCAAGAACUAAUACUUCUGUGUGAUAAUUGAAUCUUGUGGUUAUAAACCCUCUCAGUAUGCCAUCGAUACUGAAUAGACUCGAAUUUCAUCGGUCCAGUUAUUUAGCCAUCCCAAUCAUAGGCCCGGGAUGCCUCUGUGGUUAUGAUGCUUGGGGUUGAGCGCAUUGCCUCAGCCUAACUAGUUCAAUUAUUCCUUAGAGGAGAUUAUAUUCAAAACAAGUUCUUCAAGUUACGGUGAGUACCCAAGAUUUUCAGCCUAAUUAAAUGACCAUUUCCGGUAAAAUCUAGACAGACAAAUCUGCUAGCUCCUGCUGACCAACCAUCAUGAUUUGGUAUGGCAAAAAAAACUGAUGGUGUUUAAUCUAACAUUAUGAAGUUAUCACUACCAUUUAUUAUAUCAAGAAUUUUACAUUACAUAAAGGAUCAGUUUACAUUCAUGAGUGCUGUUGGCGCUUGUACCUUGCAUCAAAUUAUAUUAAAUGUUCCAUGAGGUUGCACUUCAGAGAGUUUAAACAGUCAAGAAGGAGAACCUAAUCACACGUGCACUUUUUACAUAAUACAGUAUAAUAGUUUAGGCUGCACAAAAUUAUAUCUUUACCCAUUCUAGGCCCGAUUUCCCAUCUGGUGUGUUGCUCUGUUGAAGUUCCAAGUAGUCCUUGUACUUCAUCUAGUUGUCCACGGCUCAGUUGUUCUCGCCAUCCACUAGCUGCUCCACUGGCAUGACAACAGUGUCCAGCGACGGUCCACUAGAUAGAGAGAUUGAUAGCCUUG